CGUUGUGAUCCUUGCUCUGAUAUGCUGUUCCCUGUCAUGCUCGGCGGCGGCAAGAGGUAACCAAUGACUACUAGCUAGUAAACCCACGUCGGCACAUCAUAUGUGUACAGUGGCGGAGCUAGAUGCAGAUUACGCCUGGGGCUGUGCUACUCCUCUAGUCCUCGCUUGUGUUUAUUUUCUCAAGUUGGAAGCGAGUUCACAGCCACACGCCAUGCAAAAUUCUUGAUUGUAGGUGGGACGUUGCUACCCCAUAUGAUUUUCCAACAGGUCCUACGACCAUCAGGCGCCGAACUAGUUGCAACCGAAGUCAUUCUGUAGGUUUCUUCAAAAGCCAUGUUGUAAGCAGAUUUCACAGAGAAGACUCCCAAUCUUCCGGGUCCCCAUGCAAGCACAUCAUCUCCAAGUCUUGGCGAGGCUCUAAUUUUUAGGAUCUCUGUAACAUCACAUGGCAAGAAAAUAGACUGCAACAAAUUUACAUUCCAUGAACCAUUGUUGUUGAGCAGCUGGGAGACAAAGCGGAACCGACACGUGCCCUGUGGCGAGAUAGGUUUAUAUGAGAAAGGCCUUGGAAUCCAAUUGUCUCGCCAGAUUCUUAUCUGCUGGCCAUUGCCAACUCUCCAGAUUAGCCCCUUCUUCAAAAGAUCCAAGCCAUGAGAAAUCGCCGUCCACGUGGACGAGGCGUUACCUGCGAACACAGUGUCCUCUAGCUUCCCAUUUGGAUAAUACCGAGCUUUAAGAAGUUGAGCAUAUAGGCUAUCCGGUUUUGUCAAUAGUCUCCAUGCCUGGCGCGCGAGUAGUGCUUGAUUGAAUAUCCGAAAGUCCUGAAACCCAGCUCCGCCUUUACAUUUUGGUUGCUAGAGUUUUUGCCAAGCCUUCCAAUGAACCUUUCGUUUUCCUUCCCUCGAGCCCCAAUAGAAGUUCCGCAUCAUGUUUGUUAAAUCAUCCCACACAGAAAAAGGCAGUUUAAAAACACCCAUAAUAUAUGUAGGAAGUGCUUGCGCCACUGAUUUAAUAAGAACUUCCCUGCCUGGCUGAGCAAGAUGGCCAUCACCCCAUUGGACAAGUCUUUUCAAGAGUUGUGCUUGUAAAUUUUGAAACUUGCCUUUGGACAUGCGACCAUUGGGUGUUGGAAGACUCAAGUAUUUCUCCUCGAAACCAACAUUCCGAAUAUUCAGAGUAUCUCUCACCUCCUCCUCAAGAUUGGUAGGGCAUGCUUCACCGAACAUGAUUGAACACUUAUUAUAAUUUAGAAACUGGCCUGUAGCUCUAGCAUAAAGGUCAAGACAAGACUUAAUUCUUUCCUCUUGUAGACGAUUUGCUUCAAAAAACAAUAGUGUAUCAUCUGCGAACAAAAGAUGAGAGAUUCCCGGAGCCCUACGACAAAUUUUCACUGGCAAAACAAUUCCAGAGUUCACCCUAUUUCUGAGAAUAGAAGAUAGACCAUCCGCGACGAACAGAAAUAAGAACAGGGAGAGUGGAUCACCUUGCCGAAGCCCACGCGACGGUGCAAAUGAAUCCAAGGAGGAUCCAUUUAAUUUUAUAGUAUAUCUCACCGAUAUGACACAGGUCAUAAUCCAGUCAAUCCAUCGAUGUGAAAACCCCAUCUUUUGCAUCACUUGCCUGAAGAAAUUCCAAUCAACCCGAUCAUAUGCCUUUGAUAGAUCCACUUUGUAAGCACAAAAUCCCUUAGUAGGAUCCUUCUCCUGUUUAAUAUGGUGGAUGCACUCAAAUGCAAUCAGGGCAUUGUCAGUUAUCAUCCUACCAGAUAUAAAGGCACUCUGCUCAGGAGAAAUUAUAUCGUCCAGGAGAGGACGCAAUCUAUUAACCAAACAUUUGGAAACAAUCUUGUAAAUAACAUUGCAUAGGCUAAUAGGCCGGAAAUCGUAGACCUUGACUGGAUUCGCAAUUUUCGGAAUAAGAAUGAUAGAUGUCUCAUUAACACCAUCCGGCAUAAUACCAGUUCUGAAAAACUCCUUCACUGCUUUAAUUAUAUUAGUCUUCACCACACCCCAAUUCCUCUGAAAGAAUCUUGCUGGAAAACCAUCUGGCGCAUGGGCUUUUAUAGGCCCAAUUUGAAAAAGAGCAUCCGAAAUUUCCUCAUCCAAAAAUUCGCUACAAAGUUUAACAUUAUCAUCAUCUGAAACAACUAAAUUAGAAAGAUCCAAAACCUCCGUGGCAUCAAGGGUUGCGUCAGCAGCAAAGAUGUCAUGAAAAUAAGACGAGACUACAUCACCCAUGGCUUGAGCAUCUUUGUGUACAGUACCAUUAGCAUCAUGUAUCUCAGUGAUUUUAUUUUUUCUUGCUCUCCAAACCGCCUUACUCUGGAAGAACUUCGUGUUUCUAUCACCUUCUUUCAACCAAGUGAUCCUUGAUCGUUGUAACCAAAUAAUCUCCUCCUUGUACAGUAAUUCAUUGAGUUUAUCCGAAACCUCUUGGAUUUCUGCACUAUCUGCAUUCAUAUUCAUUAGUUCCUCUAGCCGGGUUCUUGUUUUAUUAAUGUCCCUUGUGAUAUUACCAAACAUUUUACUGCUCCACUUCCGAAGGGACACCAUAGUGUCUCUCAAAGCUUUAUUGACAUGGCCUAGAUCAUCCAUCACAGCAUAGGCCUCCCAAGCCUUGCGGACUAAUUCUGGUAGCCCGACGUCUCUUUCCCAAAAUAUCUCAUACCUGCGUGGAUGCACAUUACGUUGUUCCUGGUCCGGGGCACCCUUGAGCAAUAACAGCACAUGAUCAGAACAUGGAGACGCAAGGUGCUGCACACUGUAAAAAGCGAACAGGUUCCGCCAAGAAUUUGUAGCCACCGCUCGAUCUAAACAGACUCGCACGUUUGCUGCACCAGACCUCAUAUUGUCGUAGGUAUAGGGCACACCUGAAAAACCCAGGUCCACUAAAUCACAAAGCAUCAAAGUAUCUCGGAAAGCUGCCAUUUGUGGUUCAGGGCGGGUUGUAAGGGACAUAUGUUCAAAACUCCACAACGCCUCAUUAAAAUCUCCGAUUACUAGCCAGGGUAAAUUAGAUUGUGCACUCAAGUCUUGUAAGGUAGACCACAUAAGAUGUCUAUUCUCCACCCUAGGCUCUCCAUACACCCCGGUCAAUCUCCAUGGCUCACCGUUCGGUUCAGUUAUGACAGAAACAUCAAUGUACCGUUCAUCCUUCCCCAGCAAAGUAACUUGAUAUGAUUCAUGCCAGUAUAACGCCAAACCACCACUCAUGCCCGAGCUAUCCACACCUUCAAAACCCUUAAGGCCGAGACGACCCCUAUAUCUCCUCAUCUUACUAGCUUUCUAUCGAGUUUCACACAAAAACACAAAUUUGGGGGAAUGCGACUGCACCAUCGUCGCCAAAUCUCGAACUGUCCGGGAAUUCCCCCCUCCCCGGCAGUUCCAAAUCAGGGCAUUCAUUGUCCUGGGUGGCGCCCCUCUAGGGAGCCCGCCAAAACAUCAUUAUCGUUGCUAAUAACAGAUCCAUCCUCUCCCUUUACCUUCUUCCUCACAUUUUCUUUGGGUGUAUUAACAGCAGCCGGAUCUGAUAUUACAGUCUCUGGAUCCUCAACAAUCUCGUCGCUGUCCAAGGCAUCCCUGGAGCCUCCUUGGUGUACUGGAACAAUAGCCAAACUCGUACCCAAGUCACCAGGGGCACUUACUAUAUCAUCCGGUCCUCUCUUCCCAUGCAUAUUUAGCAAAUUACUUCUCACGUCUUGGCUUGAUAGAAUAGUAUUUGUUGCACCUGGAUCCUCAAUCUCCAUCGCUGUCUUACCCAUAGAUCUUGUGUUUAACACACUGUUAUACCUCCAGUUAUUCACAGGGAUCCCAUCCGAAUUAGUUGCAUCGUUGGGCGGCGCACCUCUGCCAACACCCCGACCGAACACUGCUCCACCUCUGCCUCUUCCACCCCCUCUACCUGAUCCACGACCACCUCCUCCUCCUCGCCAUUCAUCUGCCAGUAUGAAAUCACCCCAUUCAAACUUAGACACAUCAUGCUCACCGGUGCCACACUCCUCAUACCAGUGGCCCAACAAACCACAAUUGUUACAGAAAAUUGGAAGUUUCUCAUAUUUAACCAUAUACCAGUCCUUCUUUCCCCCCCGUGUGAUGGAGACAAAGCGCUCAAGCUUUUUGCUGACAUCAAGAUUAGCUCUAACACGGACAAAAGCACCAACAUAUCCAGCCGACAACUGAAUUUGCACCUCAAGGAUCUUCCCCAAUUUCCUGCACAUACCUUUGAUCACCGGCUCAUUCAAGUAAUUGUCCGGUAGACCAAAAAUUCUAGCCCACACAGCUACUUUAUCCAGGACUAUCGUUCUAGGAUUUGUAUAGCCGUCAUACUCCAAUAGAAUUACUGCUUGAUUCCUGAAUAACCAAGGUCCCUGAGCCAUCGCCAUGUUCCAAUUGUUGGAAAUAUGCCCCAGAGGCAAUAAUAAAUUGAUUAUUAUUAUAUUUCCUUGUUCAUGAUAAUCGUUUAUUAUCCAUGCUAGAAUUGUAUUGAAAGGAAACUCAGAUACAUGUGUGGAUACAUAGACAACACCAUGUCCCUAGUAAGCCUCUAGUUGACUAGCUCGUUGAUCAAUAGAUGGUUACGGUUUCCUGACCAUGGACAUUGGAUGUCAUUGAUAACGGGAUCACAUCAUUAGGAGAAUGAUGUGAUGGACAAGACCCAAUCCUAAGCAUAGCACUAGAUCGUGUAGUUCGUAUGCUAAAGCUUUUCUAAUGUCAAGUAUCAUUUCCUUAGACCAUGAGAUUGUGCAACUCCCGGAUACCGUAGGAAUACUUUGGGUGUGCCAAACGUCACAACGUAACUGGGUGGCUAUAAAGGUACACUACGGGUAUCUCCGAAAGUGUCGUUGGGUUGGCACGAAUCGAGACUGGGAUUUGUCACUCCGUGUAAACGGAGAGGUAUCUCUGGGCCGACUUGGUAGGACAUCAUCAUAAUGUGCACAAUGUGAUCAAGGAGUUGAUCACGGGAUGAUGUGUUAUGGAACGAGUAAAGAGACUUGCCGGUAACGAGAUUGAACAAGGUAUCGGGAUACGACGAUCGAAUCUCGGGCAAGUAUCGUACCGCUAGACAAAGGGAAUUGUAUACGGGAUUGAUUGAGUCCUUGACAUCGUGGUUCAUCCGAUGAGAUCAUCGUGGAACAUGUGGGAGCCAACAUGGGUAUCCAGAUGCCGCUGUUGGUUAUUGACCGGAGAACGUCUCGGUCAUGUCUGCAUGUCUCCCGAACCCGUAGGGUCUACACACUUAAGGUUCGGUGACGCUAGGGUUAUAAAGGAAGUUUAUAUGUGGUUACCGAAUGUUGUUUGGAGUCCCGGAUGAGAUCCCGGACGUCACGAGGAGUUCCAGAAUGGUCCGGAGGUAAAGAUUGAUAUAUUGGACAAAGGGUUUUGGAGUCCGGGAGUGUUCCGGAGGUACCGGGUGAUGACCAGCAUGACCGAAAGGUGUUUCGGGAGCCCCGGCAAGUGUUGGGGGGCUUCAUGGGCCAAGGGAAGGGGGCAAACCAGCCCACUAAAGGGCUGUGCGCCCCCCUCACCUAACCCCUCGUGACCAGGGGGUUUGGGGCGCCCCAUCUAGGGUUCCCACCUCCUGGCUUGGGGGCCAAGUCACCCAAGGGGGAGAUCCCAUCUGCCCUGGCCGCCGCCCCCCCUAGGGGAAACCCUAGGGCACCUCCCCCUCCCCCUUGCCCCUAUAUAUAGUGGAGGUUUUGGGGCUGCACAUGACACGAGAUGAGUUCCUCUCCCCAUUGGUGCAGCCCUACCUCUCUUUCUCCUCGUCUCCCGUGGUGCUUGGCGAAGCCCUGCAGGAUUGCCACGCUCCUCCACCACCACCACGCCGUUGUGCUGCUGCUGGAUGGAGUCUUCCUCAACCUCUCCCUCUCUCCUUGCUGGAUCAAGGCAUGGGAGACGUCACCGGGCUGUACGUGUGUUGAACGCGGAGGUGCCGUGCGUUCGGCACUAGGAUCUCCGGUGAUUUGGAUCACGACGAGUACGACUCCAUCAACCCCGUUCUCUUGAACGCUUCCGCUUAGCGAUCUACAAGGGUAUGUAGAUGCACUCUCCUUCCCCUCGUUGCUGGUCUCUCCAUAGAUAGAGCUUGGUGAUACGUAGGAAAAUUUUGAAUUAUUGCUACGUUCCCCAACAGUGGUAUCAUGAGCUAGGUCUAUUGCGUAGAUUCUAUGCACGAGUAGAACACAAAAUAGUUGUGGGCGUCGAUUUUGUUCAAUAUGCUUACCGUUACUAGUCUAAUCUUGAUUCGGCGGCAUUGUGGGAUGAAGCGGCCCGGACCAACCUUACACGUACGCUUACGUGAGACCGGUUCCACCGACAAACAUGCACUAGUUGCAUAAGGUGGCUGGCGGGUGUCUGUCUCUCCCACUUUAGUCGGAUCGGAUUCGAUGAAAAGGGUCCUUAUGAAGGGUAAAUAGCAAUUGGCAUAUCACGUUGUGGUCUUUGCGUAGGUAAGAAACGUUCUUGCUAGAAACCCAUAGCAGCCACGUAAAACAUACAAACAACAAUUAGAGGACGUCUAACUUGUUUUUGCAGGGUAUGCUAUGUGAUGUGAUAUGGCCAAAGGAUGUGAUGAAUGAUAUAUGUGAUGUAUGAGAUGAUCAUGUUCUUGUAAUAGGAAUCACGACUUGCAUGUCGGUGAGUAUGACAACCGGCAGGAGCCAUAGGAGUUGUCUUAAUUUAUUUAUGACCUGCGUGUCAACAUAAACGUCAUGUAAUUACUUUACUUUAUUGCUAACCGUUAGCCAUAGUAGUAGAAGUAAUAGUUGGCGAGACAACUUCAUGAAGACACGAUGAUGGAGAUCAUGAUGAUGGAGAUCAUGGUGUCAUGUCGGUGACGAUGAUGAUCAUGGAGCCCUGAAGAUGGAGAUCAAAAGGAGCAAAGUGAUGAUGGCCAUAUCAUGUCACUAUUUGAUUGCAUGUGAUGUUUAUCAUGUUUAUACAUCUUAUUUGCUUAGGACGACGGUAGUAAAUAAGAUGAUCCCUCAUUAAAAUUUUAAGAAAGUGUUCCCCCUAACUGUGCACCGUUGCGACAGUUCGUUGUUUCAAUGCACCACGUGAUGAUCGGGUGUUUGAUUCAAACGUUCACAUACAACGGGUGUAAGACAGAUUUACACAUGCAAACACUUAGGUUGACUUGACGAGCCUAGCAUGUACAGACAUGGCCUCGGAACACAGAAGACCGAAAGGUCGAGCAUGAGUCGUAUGGUAAAUAUGAUCAACCUGAAGAUGUUCACCGACGUUGACUAGUCCGUCUCACGUGAUGAUCGGACACGGCCUAGUUGACUCGGAUCAUGUAAUCACUUAGAUGACUAGAGGGAUGUCUGUCUGAGUGGGAGUUCAUAAGAUGAACUUAAUUAUCCUGAACAUAGUCAAAAGGUAUUCGCAAAUUAUGUCGUAGCUCGCGCUUCAGUUCUACUGUUUAGUUAUGUUCCUAGAGAAAAUUUAGUUGAAAGUUGAUAGUAGCAAUUAUGUGGACUAGGUCCGUAAACUGAGGAUUGUCCUCAUUGCUUCAUAGAAGGCUUAUGUCCUUAAUGCACCGCUCAGUGUGCUGAACCUCGAACGUCGUCUGUGGAUGUUGCGAACAUCUGGCAUACACGUUUUGAUAACUACAUGAUAGUUCAGUUAAACGGUUUAGAGUUGAGGCACCAAAGACGUUUUGAAAUGUCGCGAAACAUAUGAUAUGUUUCGAGGGCUGAAAUUGGGAUUUCAGGCUCGUGCCCACGUCAAGAGGUAUGAGACCUCCGACGAUUUUCUUAACCUGCAAACUAAGGGAGAAAAGCUCAAUUGUUGAGCUUGUGCUCAGAUUGUCUGAGUACAACAAUCAUUUGAAUCGAGUGGGAGUUGAUCUUCCAGAUGAGACAGUGAUGGUUCUCCGAAGUCAUUACCACCAAGCUGCUAGAGCUUCGUGAUGAACUAUAAUAUAUCGGGGACAUAUAUGAUGAUCCUUGAGAUAUUCGCGAUGUUUGACACCACAAAAGUAGAAAUCAAGAAGGAGCAUCAAUUGUUGAUGGUUGGUGAAAACACUAGUUUCAAGAAGGGCAAGGGAAAGAAGGGAUACUUCAUGAAAUGGCAAAUCAGCUGCUGCUCUAGUGAAGAAACCCAAGGUUGAACCCAAACCCGAGACUAAGUGCUUCUGUAAUAAGGGGAACAGCCACUGGAGCAGAAUUACCCUAGAUACUUGGUAGAUUAGAAGGCUGGCAAGGUCGAUAGAAGUAUAUUGGAUAUACAUUAUGUUGAUGUGUACUUUACUAGUACUCCUAGUAGCACCAGGGUAUUAGAUACCGGUUCGGUUGCUAAGUGUUAGCAACUCGAAAUAAAAGCUACGGAAUAAACGGAGACUAGCUAAAGGUGAGCUGACGAUAUGUGUUGGAAGUGUUUCCAAUAUUGAUAUGAUCAAGCAUCGCACGCUCCCUCUACCAUCGAGAUUGGUGUUAAACCUAAAUAAUUUUUAUUUGGUGUUUGCGUUGAGCAUAGACGUGAUUGGAUUAUGUCUAUCGCAAUAUGGUUAUUCAUUUAAGGAGAAUAAUGGUUACUCUGUUUAUUUGAAUAAUACCUUCAAUGGUCUUGCACCUAAAAUGAAUAGUUUAUUGAAUCUCGAUCGUAGUGAUACACAUGUUCAUGCCAAAAGAUAGUAAUGAUAGUACCACCUACUUGUGGCACUGCCACGUAAGUCAUAUCGGUAUAAAACGCAUGAAGAAGCUCCAUGUUGAUGGAUCUUUGGACUCACUCAUUUUUGAAAGGAUUGAGACAUGCGAACCAUGUUUGUUGGUAGAUAUGCAUGAAGAAACUCCAUGAAAAUGGACCAUUUGGACUCACUUGAUUUUGAAUCACUUGAGACAUGCAAAUCAUGCCACAUGGGAAAGAUGACUGAAAGCCUCGUUUCCAGUAAAAUGGAACUAGAAAGCAACUUGUUGGAAGUAAUACAUUUUGAUGUGUGCAGUCCAAUGAGUGCUGAGGCGUGUAGUGGAUAUCGUUAUGUUCUUACUUCACGAAUGAUUUGAGUAAAUGUUGAGUAUAUUUACUUGAUGAAUCACGAGUCUGAAUUAUUGAAAGGUUCAAGUAAUUUCAGGGUGAAGUUGAAAGAUCGUCGUGACAAGAGGAUAAAAUAUCUAUGAUAUGAUCAUAGAGAUGAAUAUCUGAAUUAUGAGUUUGGCACAGAAUUAAGACAUUGUGGAAAUCGUUUCACAACUAAUACAGCCUGGAACACCAUAGUGUGAUGGUGUGUCCGUACAUCAUAACUGCACCCUAUUGGAUAUGAUGCAUACCAUGAUGUCUCUUAUCGAAUUACCAUGAUAGUUUAUGGGUUAGGCAUUAGAGACAACCACAUUCACUUUAAAUAGGGCACCACGUAAUUCCGAUGAGAUGACACCAUAUGAACUAUGGUUUAGAGAAACCUAAGCUGUCAUUUCUUAAAAGUUUGGGGCUGCGACGCUUAUGUGAAAAAGUUUCAGGCCGAUAAGCUCGAACCCAAAGAGGAUAAAUGCAUCUUCACAGGACACCCAAAACAGUUGGGUAUACCUCCUGUCUCAGAUUCGAAAGCAAUAAGGGAUUGUUUCUAGAAUCGGGUCCUUUCUCGAGGAAAAGUUUCUCUCGAAAUAAUUGAGUGGAGGAUGGUGGAGACUUGAUGAGGUUAUUGAACCGUCUCUUCAACUAGUGUGUGGCAGGGCACAGGGAGUUGUUCCUGUGGCACCUACACCAGUUAAAGUGGAAGCUUGUGAUAGUGAUCAUGAAACUUCAGAUCAAGUCACUACCAAACCUCGUGGGAUGACAAGGAUGCGUACUACUUCAGAGUGGUACGUAAUCCUGUCUUGGAAGUCAUGUUGCUAGACAAUAAUUAACCUACGAGCUAUGGAGAAGCGAUGGUGGGCCUGGAUUCCGAUAAAUGGCUCGAGGCCAUAAAAUCCGAGAGAGGAUCCAUGUAUGAAAACAAAGUGUAGACUUUGGAAGAACUACUUGAUGGUCGUAAGGCUGUUAGGUACAUAUGGAUUUUAAAAGGAAGACAGACAAUGAUGGUAAGUAUCACCAUUAAGAAAGCUCGAUUUGUCGUUAAGAAGUUUCCCGACAAGUUCAAGGAGUUGACUACGGUGAGACUUUCUCACUCGUAGCGAUGCUAAGGGUCUGUUGGAAUUAUAUUAGCAAUUACUGCAUUAUUUAUGAAAUCUUGCAGAUAGGAUGUCAAAACAUUGUUUCCUCGAUGAUUUUUGAGGAAAGGUUGUAUGUGAUACAACCGGAUGGUUUUGUCAAUCCUGAAAGAUGCUAAUAAGUAUGCAAAGCUCCAGCAAUCCUUCUGAGGACUGGAGUAAGCAUCUCGGAGUUGGAAUGUAUGCUUUGAUGAGAUGAUCAAAGAUUUUGGGUGUAUACAAAGUUUAUGAGAAACUUGUAUUUCCAAAGAAGUGAGUGGGAGCACUAUAGAAUUUCUGAUGAAUAUAUGUUGUUGACAUAUUGUUGAUCAGAAAUGACAUAGAAUUUCUGGAAAGCAUAUAGGGUUAUUUGGAAAGUGUUUUCAAUGGAAAGCCUGGAUUAAGCUACUUGAACAUUGAGCAUCAAGAUCUAUAAGGAUAGAUCAAAACGCUUAAUGGUACUUUCAAAUGAGAACAUACCUUGACAUGAUCUUGAAGGUGUUCAAGAUGGAUCAGUCAAAGAAGGAGUUCUUGCCUGAGUUGUAAGGUAUGAAGUUAAGACUUAAAAGCUCGACCAUGGCAGAAUAGAGAGAAAGGACGAAGGUCGUCCCCUAUACUUAAGACGUAGGCUCUACAGUAUGCUAUGCUGUGUACCGCACCUGUAGUGUGCCUUGCCAUGAGUCAGUCAAGGGGUACAAGAGUGAUCCAAGAAUGGAUCACAGGACAGCGGUCAAAGUUAUCCUUAGUAACUAGUGGACUAAGGAAUUUUCUCGAUUAUGGAGGUGGUAAAAGAGUUCGUCGUAAAGGGUUACGUCGAUGCAAGCUUAACACCUAUCCGGAUAGCUCUGAGUAGAGAUACCGGAUACGUAUAAUGGAGCGACAAUUUAGAAUAGCUCCAAGUAGAACAGUUAUUUGGAAUAGCUCCAAAUAGAACGUGGUAGCUACAUCUAGGAGAUGACAUAGAGAUUUGUGAAGCACACACGGAUCUGAAAGGUUCAGACCCGUUGACUAAAACCUCUCUCACAAGCAACAUGAUCAAACCCAGAAGUCAUUGAGUGCUAAUCACAUAGUGAUGUGAACUAGAUUAUUGACUCUAGUAAAAUCUUUGGAUGUUAGUCACAUGGGGAUGUGACCUUGAGUGUUAAUCACAUAUCGAUGUGAGCUAGAUUAUUGACUCUAGUGCAAGUGGGAGACUGUUGGAAAUAUGCCCUAGAGGCAAUAAUAAAUUGAUUAUUAUUAUAUUUCCUUGUUCAUGAUAAUCGUUUAUUAUCCAUGCUAGAAUUGUAUUGAAAGGAAACUCAGAUACAUGUGUGGAUACAUAGACAACACCAUGUCCCUAGUAAGCCUCUAGUUGACUAGCUCAUUGAUCAAUAGAUGGUUACGGUUUCCUGACCAUGGACAUUGGAUGUCAUUGAUAACGGGAUCACAUCAUUAGGAGAAUGAUGUGAUGGACAAGACCCAAUCCUAAGCAUAGCACUAGAUCGUGUAGUUCGUAUGCUAAAGCUUUUCUAAUGUCAAGUAUCAUUUCCUUAGACCAUGAGAUUGUGCAACUCCCGGAUACCGUAGGAAUACUUUGGGUGUGCCAAACGUCACAACGUAACUGGGUGGCUAUAAAGGUACACUACGGGUAUCUCCGAAAGUGUCUGUUGGGUUGGCACGAAUCGAGACUGGGAUUUGUCACUCCGUGUAAACGGAGAGGUAUCUCUGGGCCCACUCGGUAGGACAUCAUCAUAAUAUGCACAAUGUGAUCAAGGAGUUGAUCACGGGAUGAUGUGUUACGGAACGAGUAAAGAGACUUGCCGGUAACGAGAUUGAACAAGGUAUCGGGAUACCGACGAUCGAAUCUCGGGCAAGUAUCGUACCACUAGACAAAGGGAAUUGUAUACGGGAUUGAUUGAGUCCUUGACAUCGUGGUUCAUCCGAUGAGAUCAUCGUGGAACAUGUGGGAGCCAACAUGGGUAUCCAGAUCCCGCUGUUGGUUAUUGACUGGAGAACGUCUCGGUCAUGUCUGCAUGUCUCCCGAACCCGUAGGGUCUACACAGUUAAGGUUCGGUGACGCUAGGGUUAUAAAGGAAGUUUAUAUGUGGUUACCGAAUGUUGUUCGGAGUCCCGGAUGAGAUCCCGGACGUCACGAGGAGUUCCGGAAUGGUCCGGAGGUAAAGAUUGAUAUAUUGGACGAAGGGUUUUGGAGUCCGGGAGUGUUCCGGAGGUACCGGGUGAUGACCAGCAUGACCGAAAGGUGUUUCGGGAGCCCCGGCAAGUGUUGGGGGGCUUCAUGGGCCAAGGGAAGGGGGCAAACCAGCCCACUAAAGGGCUGUGCGCCCCCCUCACCUAAUCCCACGUGACCAGGGGGUUUGGGGCGCCCCAUCUAGGGUUCCCACCUCCUGGCUUGGGGGCCAAGUCACCCAAGGGGGAGAUCCCAUCUGCCCUGGCCGCCGCCCCCCUAGGGGAAACCCUAGGGCGCCUCCCCCUCCCCCUUGCCCCUAUAUAUAGUGGAGGUUUUGGGGCUGCACAUGACACGAGAUGAGUUCCUCUCCCCAUUGGUGCAGCCCUACCUCUCUUUCUCCUCGUCUCCCGUGGUGCUUGGCGAAGCCCUGCAGGAUUGCCACGCUCCUCCACCAUCACCACGCCGUUGUGCUGCUGCUGGAUGGAGUCUUCCUCAACCUCUCCCUCUCUCCUUGCUGGAUCAAGGCAUGGGAGACGUCACCGGGCUGUACGUGUGUUGAACGCGGAGGUGCCGUGCGUUCGGCACUAGGAUCUCCGGUGAUUUGGAUCACGACGAGUACGACUCCAUCAACCCCGUUCUCUUGAACGCUUCCGCUUAGCAAUCUACAAGGGUAUGUAGAUGCACUCUUCUUCCCCUCGUUGCUGGUCUCUCCAUAGAUAGAGCUUGGUGAUACGUAGGAAAAUUUUGAAUUAUUGCUACGUUCCCCAACACCAAUCACCAAGACAUGCAAACUGCACUGUGAACAAAUUGGUGUCAAUCAUACGCCACUGCACACCCUUUGCGGGAUUCCAAGCAGACCUCAUGUCCGCGUACAAAGCCGACGAACUGAAUCCCUUGUCUGUGUGUACCCUCUCAAUUGCUAACCACAUAGCUUGAAUAUCUGGCAGAUUCUCCUCCUCCUCCCAUACGAAAUCGCCGCCCUGAUCUUCAUGGAGAGCCAAUCUGCCGAGCAACUCCUCAACCUCCUCGCUAUGUGAAAUCUUUUUACUAGGGUUACUGCCGCCCGCUUCCAUCUUGAAUACCGCUGAGACUCCUGAGACUUCGCGCAGAACAAGGCCGUGAAGAAGCAAAGCUUCCCCCAUAUUUUUGGUAACAGGCACAUUUAUUUUAAUGUUCCUCAAACAAGAAAAUAUAAAAGAGGGACAGGGGGAGAAAAAUAAACUACUAGUACUGCGAUGACCAUUGCAGUAACAUGCUUCCAAAUAAUCUGUACUACUUUAUAAAUAAAUUGAUCAGAUAGCUCAUAACAAGUCAUACUCGAUAUGCCUUAGAAAUUAUUGAUCUAUCAUCGAGAGAUAAAUACAGCAAAACAAAAACAAAUCAUCACCAACGAAACAAUUCAACCAAACGCAUCAUCAGAGCUCAAGUUUUUCACCCUUCCAGGUCAGCAUGAAAAAUAUUCAAUCAACUCUACCACGGGGAUCCCGCAACCUCUUACCAAGCGCCCGCCCUUCGAGUCAGCACAUAAGGGAAAAUAUCUGCAAGGGCAAAUUAGCCCUAUAAAAAGCAUGAUAAGUAUUGUACCAGCAAUGUGUCGAAACAAAUUUGAAUGACAUAGCCAGAAGAAGAUUUAUGAUCAACAUAAUUCCAUUUCUUUGAUAAGAAACUACCCUACUUUUGUCAUCUUAUUUUUUCCACAUCACUAUAAUUAUAUUUUUCUUUGAAAGAAGUGUAUACACUCGGUUUUUUGAUAGAAUGAUGCAAGCAACCCAUUUAUUGUGAAGUUUUUAAUUCGAUAUCGAAGUUGAUUUUUUUGAUAAGAAUAGGCCCUCAGUGGAAAAUUGAAUAUGACUACAACAAUGACCACACUAGUGUAUCACUUCCUCCCCGAAAGUGUUAUCUGACAACGUCUUUGGUUCGUGCGGACUACAGAUGGGGAAUGUGUGUUGAGGGGUGAGGAGAUUAAAAGCCCUUUGAUUGAUUAUAGGUAAUGAGAGUUUAAGUUGGUACAGGAAUGGGAGUUGAGGGAGCCGAUUCCCGAUUUCUUUCCAUGGGGUACCAUGUUAAUCCGUGAUCAGUGGUCCAUGAUAGACUAAUUCCCAUAAUAUACGAAGCAAGGAAAUGGGAAUAAAAAUCUACUUCCACUCCUAAUCUCAACACAAACUCCCACCCCGGCCCCUACCCCAAUGGUUACCGAACAGGGUGUGAAAAUUGUGCUUUUGCAUUCACUAGUUCGAGGGCAAUCCUUUUAUUUCUUCCAUUGUCUGGUGAAAAAAAUCUCUUAAUAAUGUUUGUAUUACCUACCUACAAAAUUGAGAAAGCAAAUGACUGAUAGAUUUUUGAUAGGAGGAACCUCUGCUUCAUGACUAUGACUAGGAGACUCUUGACUUAGUUGGUCUAUACAAGAGAAAACAAGGCCAGAUUUCCAUGAAUCCUUUUGUCCCUCAUUCAAUGUCGUCAAGCUGCAUUUUCGAACGUGCCCUUGUCGACGAUACCGAUGGCAGACUUUGACCAUGAAUUAGAGUAUAUCUAGAUGGUUGAGUCUCCAAGACAAAGAAAAGAGCGUAACCAUCCCCAGUGUAGUACAUUACCACUAACGUUCCCUAUAUAUGAUAUAACUCAGAAGGAGAACAACUUAAGGUAUGUGCCGCGUUACAGAACAGGAAGCACUUGCAAUAAGGGAUCCCUUUAUUCAAUUUUAUGGUUAUGAUUUGUCUAAAGAAAAGCACUACAAUAACUAUGAUGCCACAUUGUGAAUUUCGACUAUUUACAUGCUCAGUUCCUACAGAACCUGAAUGGAUCAGAGAACAAUCUUCUGAGGUGAAUCUGCAUAACAUCAUCGUUUUAGAGCCAACUGUUUCCAACUAUGUAUUAGUGAAUUUUGACUAUUUACAUGUUCAGUUCCUAUAGAACCUGAAUGGAUCAGAGCACAAUCUUCUGAGGUGAGUCUGUUGAGUAAAUAGGCAAUUUCUCGAUUAAAUUAAUCCAUGAGUAAAUCACUAGCAUGGCAUAGACACAAAUAAACGCAUACUGAUAUUCAGUCAAGCAAGCACAUACUACGCUAAUUACAGAAAGAUCUACGUAUAACGCUAGCAUGGCUAAAACAGAAAACAAUAUGAGCGGGAUAAUUGAGUUAUACCCUCCAGUAGGCGUGGUUUCGGACAGCAGCAGCAAGGAAACGACGGUGGGCGUGUGCGUGGAUCAGAUGUGAUCUGUUCGUGGCGGCUAGGGUUAGGAGACAUCGCACACUUGUAUAGGCGCAGUCCUUUUAUUUCUUCCAUUGUCUGGUGAAAAAAAUCUCUUAAUAAUGUUUGUAUUACCUACUACAAAAUUGAGAAAGCAAAUGACUGAUAGAUUUUUUGAUAGGAGGAACCUCUGCUUCAUGACUAUGACUAGGAGACUCUUGACUUAGUUGGUCUAUACAAGAGAAAAGAAGGCCAGAUUUCCAUGAAUCCUUUUGUCCCUCAUUCAAUGUCGUCAAGCUGCAUUUUUGAAGGUGCCCUUGUCGACGAUACCGAUGGCAGACUUUGACCAUGAAUUAGAGUAUAUCUAGAUGGUUGAGUCUCCAACACAAAGAAAAGAGCGUAACCAUCCCCAGUGUAGUACAUUACCACUAACGUUCCCUAUAUAUGAUAUAACUCAGAAGGAGAACAACUUAAGGUAUGUGCCGCGUUACAGAACAGGAAGCACUUGCAAUAAGGGAUCCCUUUAUUCAAUUUUAUGGUUAUGAUUUGUCUAAAGAAAAGCACAACAAUAACUAUGAUGCCACACUGUGAAUUUCGACUAUUUACAUGCUCAGUUCCUACAGAACCUGAAUGGAUCAGAGCACAAUCUUCUGAGGUGAAUCUGCAUAACAUCGUCGUUUUAGAGCCAACUAUUUCCAACUAUGUAUGAGUAGUGAAUUUUGACUAUUUACAUGUUCAGUUCCUACAGAACCUGAAUGGAUCAGAGCACAAUCUUCUGAGGUGAAUCUGUUGAGUAAAUAGGCAAUUUCUCGAUUAAAUUAAUCCACGAGUAAAUCACUAGCAUGGCAUAGACACAAAUAAACACAUACUGAUAUUCAGUCAAGCAAGCACAUACUACGCUAAUUGCAGAAAGAUCUACGUAUAACGCUAGCAUGGCUAAAAUAGAAAACAGUAGGAGCGGGAUAAACGAGUUAUACCCUCCAGUAGGCCAUGCAGAGGCCGCGGCUUUGGUGGCAGCAGCGGCGUCCUCGACGGCCUUCUUGUCGGCUUCAGCUUUCUCGGCGACGACACGUAGGUGUGAGCUCGGCUCGGCUCAAUCCCGCAACCGUUAGUGACUGGUAAAAAUAAGCGAUUAGGUGUGAGCUCAGCUUGGCUCAAUCCCGCAACCCGCGGCGCGGCGCGUCGUGACGAGGCGUGGCGUGGCGUGGAAUGGCAAGGCGGGCGGCGGAGGAGGAGUGCGCGAGGGCCUCUUCUCUUCUCAAGCUCCAAUAGCAUGUAGAAGAGAAACCCUUAUAACACUACUAGGGAAAAGCCUAGCAGCAGCGCAGGUUUUAGGCCUAUCAGCGGCGCGGGUGCCCGCGCUACCAAUAAGACGCUACAGCUAACUCUUAGUAGUAGCGUUGUCUGUACCCGCGCUACUACUAUUGACUAUAUCAGCAACGCUUUUCAGGAACGCGCUGCUAUUAGUUAGCUGUAGCGAUUUCCUGAUCCCGUGCUACUGUUAUAUCUUUCACCAUUUCCCCAUUCCAGCUUCGAUAAACUGCAAUUUCCAGAUACUAGGUACUACUAGAUAUCAAUUUCAUAAAGCAUUAUAGGUACUAGGUAGUACUCCCUCGGUUCGAAAUUACUCGUCGUGGUUUUAGUUCAAAUUUGAACUCAAACCACGACGAGUAAUUUGGAACCGAGGGAGUACUAGAUAACAAUUUCAUAUAUACUCAACAUGCAUCCUCAAGCAGUACAAGGUGACAUCGACGACAAUCAUCAUAUUUAGUUCUAGAUGAUAUCGACGACGAUCAUCAUAUGUAGUUCUACAUGAUAUCGACGACGAUCAUCAUAUGUAGUUCUAGAUGAUAUAGCCACACACACAUAUGUAGUUCUAGAUGAUAUCGAUGACGAUCAUCAUCCUCAAGCCUGGGCGGUGGGUGUUCCUGAUAGUAAUUAGGAUGGCCUGUCCAACACGAAGAUUCUUGCCAACGAGGAAUCUCUUCCACCCAACCGAGUUCAAGUGUGUGCGACCAUCUGUGUCCAUGCGGUAAGUACAGGUGGUGACGGAGCCCCUUGCGGUAAGGCGUAGUCCAACUGAGCCUUCUUCAUCAGGCUCGAUACCACAACUCACAGAUAGGUUCUUUGGCAAUCUCUGAAUAAGAAAAACAUAUCAAUUAAUAAAUAGCCUCACACAUACUCUUGCAAAUAUAUUUCUAUCAAGUCUAGAUUUCUACACUAUCAAAAGACACAGUACUACGCAUUUGUACUAAUUAAUCAUGAAUUCUACUAAUAAGUAUAUAUGGAUUAUCUACACUAUUAAUAGUUCCUUAGAUUCUACACUAAUAAGCAUGUGAUCAGACUCUACACUAAAGUAUAUCAUCGACUAGAUUCCACAAAGCAUAUCAUUGGACUCUACACUAAGCAUAUCAUCGAAUUCACUAAGCAUAUCAUCGGAUAAUUUGCAUUUGUAAGUAUAACAAUAAAGCAUAUAUAUAUCAUCAAAUUACUACAUGCAGUACGUAUAACAUACCAUUUCAUGCCGAUCGACCAUGGUACUUGUCAGGCGGGUCACGAAUGGCACCCCGACAAAGUCAUCAUGUGGCAGAAUUAUGUCCCAUAGGUUGCACACCUCCUCCUUGCUCAGCCUCAUUCUUUGAGCUAUGAUGGCUUCAUGAAGUGGGUUCUCAUCAUCUUCAUUGAGUGGGUCCUCAUUAUCUUCAUCAUCUUCGUCAUCUUCAUCAUCUUCCACUAGGUUGAUAUAAAUGACAACCAGCUUGGGUCUUUCUGCUCUGAAGGAGAAUCUGAUCAACUCACCACCUGUAAGACGCAUGCAAGCGAGGAAACGGGCCCAUCCAUCUCCUCCAAUCUGCGACAUAUUGCGUCCUUUCUCGACCUCCAUAGUGUACGGCCCCCCAGGAGCCUCAAAUGUCACAGUGUCUCCUGUCAGCUUGUUGAAUUUCAACCUCACAUUGCAUGGGACGAUCUGUGUAAGAAAAGCAAAAUGACACAAUGCAGUAAUGCCAACACUAAAAAUAAAAUAGUUGUUACAUUUCAUCUAAUUUCUUACCGCCGCAUGAAGAAAACUCAGAUGGAAGUAGAUGCCGAACAGCUUGCCAGUUGCAAGGCUGCUGGCACACCUUGACUUGCAUAGUCGACAUAGUGGUGCUGGUGGUGGCGCCAUUUUCCUAAAGCAAUAUGAGCAAAGGAUUAACGAUUCACUUCACAGGAAAGAAAAACAUUAGCAUGUGAUAUUUUUGGUUCUUCCGCGAGAAACAAUUUUAUGGACAAUUAUAAUCCUAAUUUGGCCCCUAUUGCCUAAGAUAAUUGUUUAAACAAACAAGUGUCAAAUUUAACUAAGUUGGCACCUACAUUUUGCCAAAAAAUAACUUAUUACAAAAAAAAUCAACUAAAUCAACUAGCCUACUAAAUAAACUAAAUCGAGCAUACUAAAUCAACUAAAUCAAUUAGCAUACUAAAUCCACUAGCAUACUAAAUCAACUAAAUCAAAAUGUUCUAAAUCAACUAGCCUACUAAAUCAACUAAAAUCAACUAGCCUACUAAAUCAACUGAAUCAUAGCAACUAAAUCAAAAUGUUACAUAUUAAAGCCUACUCGAGGAGGGAGAAGAUAGUAGGACGGAGGAGGAAGGCGGAGCGAGGAGGGGCCGGCCGGCGGCGAGUGGAGGGAGGACGGAUCGAGGAGGAAGGCGGAGCGAGGAGGGGCCGGCCAGCGGCGAGUGGAGGGAGGACGGAGGAGGAGGCCGGUACCGAGUCCAGCGAGGAGGAUGAGGCGACAGCGGCGCAGAUCGGGGGAGGGGCGACGGGGGAGGACCGGCGGCGCGGGGGGUGAGGAGGAGACCGAGUGAGUGUGUGUGAGUGUGAUCUGUGGAUGAGGCUAGUGAGUGGGGGGAGAUGGAAUGGCAUUGCACUAGCGCGCUAUAGGAAAAUGCGCUACUGCUAAACUACCUAUCAGUAGCGCCUUUUUGUGUACAAUCUUAUUUGUCAAUAGGAAUCCUCGCCGGUUGGUUUAAGAACUGGCGAGGAUUCCUAUUGCGGCCACAGAUCCUACACAUAGAGUUCAAUGAAGACCAAGUGCUUGUGAAAGUUGUAGAAGAAACAUAUUUAAGGUGGGUAAAACUCUCUUCACGGAGCGAGGUGGGACUAAAUUUUUGUAGUUAAUUUAGCAAUAGCGAUUAUUGCCUGAAUGCGCUACUGCUACAUUACGUAGCAGUAGCGCUGUUUAGUUUAACGCGCUGCUGCUAUAACUGGCCUCGCGGCGGCAUCGUCGGAAUUUUAGCAGUAGCGCUUCUUGGAGUGCGCGCGCUACUGAUAAACUUGUUUCAGCAGCGAGUUUCUAAAGCCCGCGCUACUGCUACUUAGCAGCAGCGCCUGAUUUUAAAGCACGCUGCUGGUAAGAUUCUGUGUAUAGGCUUCUCCCUAGUAGUGUAAGGAGGUCCAACUCCUCUUCCACUUCCGGGGUGGGACUAAACUUCCCACUACACCUAGUGCCAUAUAACCCACAUGGGCCCUUAGAGAUUUUUCAGAAAUUGCUAUAUGGGCUAGAGCCCAUCUCAAAUUUCAGCAAUUCCUCACCAGAUCUCGAGGGCCCAUUAUGUCCUCUGUUCCAAUUACUGUUUCGAUAUACCAAUGUUUUAGUGAAGACCUGUUAAGGUUGAACUUCACCUAAAGCAAGUAGCUACACUCCUUCACAACUGAACAAUGGACUAUGCCUUGAAUUGUCAGUUUGGUGUAAAGAAGUUUCACCACAUGUCUUACUAGUACUAGGCUGCCGAAGACUGACCCCUCGGGUGGAGCAUAUAAGUCACACUCCUGGCCUAUUCAUGAGCUUACUAGAGAUCACCCCAAUCUCUUAGACUGUGACCAGUAGUCGGGCUCAUAUAGGUGUGUUCCUCCAAAGAUCGCUCUGUAGGAUAGCAUCUUGCUUUCAUAAGUUUUGGAACACAUUAAGACAGUAGUCAUCCUACAAUACAGUAUCGAGAGUAUUGCAUCUCCAACGGAGUGGGUUAGUAUAGUUACUAUCCUCAGUUCACCACUGGCUUGUUUUCCCAGGUCCUACUUCACGGGAUCUCCGAUCACAUAGGUUGGUUUACCACCAUGGCAACUCAUCUGGGUCUCAUACCCAUCUCCCUCGAUGCAUUAUCUAUCACAACACGUGAUAGCCCUUUCGUAAAGGGAUCUGCCAGAUUCUUAGCCGUAUGGACAUAGUCCAACGCUAUCACUCCGGAGUUUCUUAAUUUUCUGAUAGCUUUUAAUCUCAUUCUUAUGUGUUUGUUGGACUUCAUGUUGUCCUUUGAACUCUUCACCUUGGUGAUGACAGUCUGAUUGUCACAGUUCAUAAGGAUAGCCGGAACCGGUUUAUCAACCAAUGGCAAGUCCAUCAAAAGAUCUCGAAGCCAUCCUGCUUCAACACCAGAUGUGUCUAAUGCUGUUAAUUCUGCUUCCAUUGUCGAUCUCGUUAAGAUCGUUUGCUUGCAAGACUUCCAGGAAACAGCGCCACCUCCAAGAGUAAACAUAUACCCAGUUGUGGCCUUCAUCUCAUCAGCAUCAGAGAUCCAAUUCGCAUCACUAUACCCUUCAAGUACCGACGGGUCUCCGGUAUAGUGAAGUCCAUAGUUCAUAGUACCUUUCAGAUAGCGCAUAACUCUUUCAACAGCAUGCCAAUGUACAUCACCCGGUUUGGAAACAAACCGGCUUAAUUUGCUCACAGCAAACGCGAUGUCAGGCCUCGUUGCGCUCGCUAGGUACAUCAGUGAACCAAUGAUUUGAGAGUAUCUCAAUUGAUCUUUAGCCGUGCCUUUGGACUUUCGAAUCACCACGCUAGGAUCAUAUGGUGUUUGAGAUGGUGCAUAGUCCGAAUAUCCAAAACGACUCAACACCUUCUCAACAUAGUGGGAUUGCAGAAGUGUAAUCCCACCCUCAUUAUCUCUCAGUAGCUUAAUGUUCAAGAUAACAUUAGCCACACCAAGGUCUUUCAUCUCAAAGUUCUGAGAUAGAAACGAUUUGACCUCCUCAGUGAGUUUGAGGUUUGUUCCAAAUAUCAGUAUGUCAUCAACAUACAAGCACAGUAUAACUCCUUCACCCCCACCAUGGCGAUAGUAUACACAUUUGUCAGCCUCAUUAACAACGAAACCAACAGAUGUCAGAGUUGUAUUAAACUUAUCAUGCCAUUGAUUAGGUGCUUGCUUUAGGCCAUAUAAAGAUUUCAGCAACCUACACACCUUUCUUUCCUGACCAUCUAUCACAAAGCCAUCUGGCUGUUGCAUGUAGAUUUCCACGUUUAGCUCUCCAUUCAGAAAAGCCGUCUUAACAUCCAUCUGGUGGACGAGAAGACCAUGCGAGGCCGCCAACGAGAGUAAUACUUGAAUGGUGGUUAGUCUAGCCACAGGUGAAUAAGUAUCGAAGAAAUCUUCCUCUUCUUUCUGGUCAUAGCCCUUGGCCACAAGCCUAGCCUUGUACUUUUCAAUUGUACCAUCGGGCCUAAGCUUCUUCUUGAACACCCACUUACAUCCUAAUGGUUUGCAACCAUAGGGACGGUCAGUGAUCUCCCAUGUCCCGUUAGCCAUGAUGGAGUCCAUCUUGCUAUGGACCGCAUCCUUCCAGUAAUCAGCUUCUGGAGAGGCAUACGCUUCUGAAAUAGAAGUGGGAGUAUCAUCCACGAGGUACACGAAGAAAUCAUCACCAAAGGUCUUUGCAGUCCUUUGUCUCUUUCCCCUACCAAGGGUUUCCUCGUCAUCCUCCUCAGGAUUUUCAUCAUGUGUUUGUUCAUAAUAUUCCAUAGGGAUGGCAGGUUCAGGAGUCUCCUCAGAUUCCUGUCUAGAAGUGCUUUGCAUAUCUCUCAUAGUAAAAAUAUCCUCAAAGAAUGUAGCAUCCUUAGACUCCAUAAUUGUACCGACCUUCUGGUCAGGUACAUCAGAUUUCACUACUAGAAAUCUAUAGCCAACGCUGUUCUUAGCGUAGCCCAAAUUAACGCAGACCACAGUCUUGGGUCCAAGCUUACGCUUUUUGAGGACCGGCACAUUGACUUUCGCCAAACAGCCCCAAGUGCGCAAGUACGAGAGUGUUGUCCUUCUCUUCGCCCAUUUCUCAUAGGGAGUGAUCUCAUUAUCCUUUGUCGGAACUUUAUUCAGGACAUGACAUGCCGUCAAUAUAGCCUCCCCCCACCAUGCCUUGGAUAAACCCGAUGUAUGUAACAUGGCGUUAACCAAAUCAGUUAGAGUAUGGUUUUUCCGCUCAACAACCCCGUUUGACUGGGGUGAAUAGGGAGGCGUCCUCUCAUGAAUAAUGACAUGUUCCGCACAAAAGGAACCAAACUCACUCGAGAAGUACUCUCCACCACGAUCUGACCGGACUCGUUUAAUUUUCUUUUCAAGUUGGUUCUCAACUUCUGCCUUAUAGAUUUUAAAGUAGUGUAGAGCCUCAUCUUUAGUAUUUAACAGAUACACAUAGCAAUAUCUAGUGGAAUCAUCUAUCAAUGUCAUGAAGUAUUCCUUUCCACCUUUAGUCAACACACCAUUCAUCUCACAAAGAUCAGAAUGUAUGAGUUCUAAUGGUGCCAAGUGUCUCUCCUCCGCGGCCUUGUGAGGCUUGCAAGGUUGCUUAGCUUGCGCACAUGAAAGGCACUUAGAACCUUUGGCUAAAGUGAAACUCGGGAUUAAAUCCAACUUGGCUAGCUGCGUCAUAACACCAAAACUAAUGUGGCAAAGACGUGAAUGCCAAACUUCAGAUUCAUUAACAUUCGAAUGAAUAUGGUUCACGACUUUAUUACAAAAUUCUGCGAGGGAAAGGCGGAACAUCCCUCCGCUCUCAUAACCUUUUCCAACAAAGAGUCCAUAUUUCAUAACAACUAAUUUAUUAGACUCGAAAACCAACUUAAACCCUUCUCUACAUAGAAGGGAGCCACUAACAAGGUUCUUCUUGAUGGCGGGGACAUGCUGCACGUUCUUCAGCUGCACGAUCCUUCCCGAAGUAAACUUCAGAUCGACCGUGCCAACACCAUGAACAGAAGCACUCGCGCCAUUCCCCAUCAAUACGGACCCGUGACCUGUGACCUGGUAAGAAGUGAACAAUGAAAUGUCAACACACACAUGAACACCUGCACCUGUGUCCACCCACCAAUCGGUAGGUUGAAACACUGAAAAAACAGUAAAUAAAUUACCGUACCCAGAUGCACCAUUCUCAUUGUUGCCCACAAUCAUGUUGACAGACUUGGAGUCCUGUCCUGACUUCUUGUACUUGUUUUGGCACUUGUUGGCCCAAUGUUCAACCGAACCACAAGUAAAGUAGCCCUCGUCCUUCUUCUUAAAGUUGGUAUUGUGUUGGACACCGUUCUUUCCCUUGGGCUUGUGGGAGUUGAGUUCUUCUGGUUCACCAUGUUGGCAACAAAAGUCCCUUCGGCCCCUUUUCCGUGCGAGUCUUUUGCCCUCUAAUUCUGCUCAACAGUCAGAUGGCCAAUGAAAUCCUCCAUAGAGAAUUCACGCCUCUGAUGUUUCAGAGUGGUGGCAAAGUUCCUCCAGGAAUUAGGGAGCUUAGCGAUUAUGCAGCCCGCGACAAACUUGCCCGGUAAGUCGCACUUAAGAAGCUCAAGUUCCUUAACAAUGCAUAUUAUCUCAUGAGACUGCUCCAAUAUAGGGCGGUUUUCAACCAUCUUGUAAUCGUGGAACUGCUCUAUAAUAUACAUCUCGCUCCCUGCAUCGGCGGCCCCAAAUUUAGAUUCGAGCGCCUCCCACAAGUCCUUGGCGACAUGCACAUGUAAAUAUGCGUCGACCAGUUUAUCUCCGAUCACGCUAAGAACUGCUCCGAGAAACACAACGGUAGCCUCCUUGAACGCCUUCUCCUGUUCAGGAGCAAUCAUUCCCGUGGAGACACCGGUGACCCAGAACACGUUCAUAGCCGUCAGCCAUAACAUGGUCUUAGUCCGCCAAAGCUUAAAGUAUGUACCGGUAAACUUAUCCGGUUUCAGUGCAGCGGCAAAGCCACUUGCCGAGAAAUUCCUACACAUAAUAGGUUUUUGGAUUGUUGAGUAAAUAGGCAAUUUCUCGAUUAAAUUAAUCCACGAGUAAAUCACUAGCAUGGCAUAGACACAAAUAAACGCAUACUGAUAUUCAGUCAAGCAAGCACAUACUACGCUAAUUGCAGAAAGAUCUACGUAUAACACUAGCAUGGCUAAAACAGAAAACAAUAGAAGCGGGAUAAAUGAGUUAUACCCUCCAGUAGGCGUGGUUUCGGACAGCAGCAGCAAGGGAACGACGAUGGGCGUGUGCGUGGAGCAGAUGUGAUCUGUUCGUGAUGGCUAGGGUUAGGAGACACCGCACACCUAUAUAGGCGCAAUCCUUUUAUUUCUUCCAUUGUCUGGUGAAAAAAAUCUCUUAAUAAUGUUUGUAUUACCUACUACAAAAUUGAGAAAGCAAAUGACUGAUAGAUUUUUGAUAGGAGGAACCUCUGCUUCAUGACUAUGACUAGGAGACUCUUGACUUAGUUGGUCUAUACAAGAGAAAAGAAGGCCAGAUUUCCAUGAAUCCUUUUGUCCCUCAUUCAAUGUCGUCAAGCUGCAUUUUCGAAGGUGCCCUUGUCGAUGAUACCGAUGGCAGACUUUGACCAUGAAUUAGAGUAUAUCUAGAUGGUUGAGUCUCCAACACAAAGAAAAGAGCGUAACCAUCCCCAGUGUAGUACAUUACCACUAACGUUCGCUAUAACUCAGAAGGAGAACAACUUAAGGCAUGUCCCGCGUUACAGAACAGGAAGCACUUGCAAUAAGGGAUCCCUUUAUUCAAUUUUAUGGUUAUGAUUUGUCUAAACAAAAACACUACAAUAACUAUGAUGCCACACUGUGAAUUUCAACUAUUUACAUGCUCAGUUCCUACAGAACCUGAAUGGAUCAAAGCACAAUCUUCUGAGGUGAAUCUGCAUAAUAUCGUUUUAGAGCCAACUGUUUCCAACUAUGUAUGAGUAGUGAAUUUUGACUAUUUACCUGUUCAGUUCCUACAGAACCCGAAUGGAUCAGAGCACAAUCUUCUGAGGUGAAUCUGUUGAGUAAAUAGGAAAUUUCUCGAUUAAAUUAAUCCACGAGUAAAUCACUAGCAUGGCAUAGACACAAAUAAACACAUAUUGAUAUUCAGUCAAGCAAGCACAUACUACGCUAAUUGCACAAAGAUCUACGUAUAACGCUAGCAUGGCUAAAACAGAAAACAGUAGGAGCAGGAUAAACGAGUUAUACCCUCCAGUAGGCGUGGUUUCGGACAGCAGCAGCAAGGGAACGACGGUGGGCGUGUGCGUGGAGCAGAUGUGAUCUGUUCGUGGCGGCUAGGGUUAGGAGACACCGCACACUUAUAUAGGCGCAGCCGCGUGGAGAGACGUGGGCUCGACCCACGUCCGAGUCCGUGCCAGCCCACGAUCCGACGUCUCAGAUCGUGGCCCAGCUGUCAGAGAACUCUCGACCCACGUCCCAGUCCGUGCCAGCCCACGAUCCGACGUCUCAGAUCGUGGCCCAGCUGUCAGAUAAUGACUGGCAAAAAUAAGAGCGUAGGUGUGAGCUUGCCUCGGCUCGAUCCCGCAACCCGCGGCGCGUCGUGCCGAGGCGGGCGGUGGAGGAGGAGUGCGCGAGGGCCUCUUCUCUUCUCAAGCUUUAAUAGCAUAUAGAAGAGAAACCCUUAUAAGGAGGUCCACUCCUCUUCCACUUCCGGGGUGGGACUAAACUUCCCACUACACAUAGUGCCAUAUAAUCCACAUGGGCCUUUAGAGAUUUUUCAGAAAUUGCUAUAUGAGCCUAGAGCCCAUCUCAAAUUUCAGCAGUUUCCAACUAUGUAUAAGUAGUCGUUAACUUAAUGUGAAGCUGAUGUGAGACAUAUUAUUUCUACGUAUAUUCUUUUUUCCUUCUAAGGUGUACUAUAUGGUUUUUAUUUGGUUUUCUGUCCGGUUUCUUUCAGUCUUAUAGGAAUGAAUUUAUAGACGAUUCACAUAAUAUUUUAACAUGCAACGUUUGGGUGGCAUGCCACAAAGCCAUGCCCAAAAUCUAGUACUCCCUCCAAUCCAAAUUGAUUCACAGAACCUUAAUAUAACUUUAGUACAAAGUUAUACUAAAGCUACACCAAUUAAUUUGGAUUGGAGGGAGUAUAAUGUAUAUUAUAGAACUAUAAAUUAUUAUAGUUCUACGAUUGUGGUGAAGUAGGCCCUACUUUAGAGUUUGGCACACGACUUCUGAUUUUGCCGGCUUACCUGCUGCUGCAAGCUGCCUGACUAGGAGACUCUUGACUUCGUAGGUCUAGUCUAUACAAGACGAAACAACAAGAUCUUUCCACAACUAUUGUGCCGCAAAUUUCUUGUCCUCAAACUGCAUUUUGCACACGGCAGAUUUUGACCAUGAACUAGAGCAAGCAUUCAUAUCUGCACGGUCAAGUCUCCAUGACCAAGAAGAGAGCGCAAGUGCGUAGCCAUCCCCGGUGUAGUCUAGUACCACUACUGCUAGUACCGUUCCCUAUUUAACAUAUGGCCCACAAAGUGAACAACGUACGCACUGAGAAGCCGGCCAGAUGAAUAUGCACCGUUCUUCUUCCCUCGCAUUAGCUAUGGCGUUCCUAGCUAUCGUUUACUGUUUCAUGCCGCCGCCAUGCUCAGCAGCGUUCCAAGAAGGUGCGUAAAGAACUGUGUGCAUGCCAUUUUUGUAAGGGAAUUUCUAAAAUUAGGCGGCCGGAAUGAUGAUUGAUCAUGUUCAUAGGUGUAGCUGUUCUGGACGGAUCCCGUAUCAAUGGACCUCCGUCGCCGCGGUACGGGCCGCCGAGGCAGCCAGGCUAUGAGCCCCCGGCCGCUGCUGCCACUUCUGCCACAGCGUAAGACCGUGUAGGCGGCUGCUAAGGCCCCUCACGCAUAAAGUAGACCGGAAAUCAGAGUGUAUACAGUGGUAAAUAAAAUCCGGAUGAUUUGUGAUAUUAAUAAUUAGUUGUGAAAGUUAUGAAUAAAGCCACGUUGUUAUGUGCGUAUGAAUAAGCUAUCAGUCAUAUAGGAUAACAAGUUUACGAUGAAUUGCAUUGAAAAUCCUUAUAUUUCCAAUUACAUAAAGAAAAAAACAAAUAAAAGAUGAGGAGAAUACUAACGAAUGGGAAGAGACUUCCCAGUAUUCUCCUAUUAUUUCUUAUGAUGAAUCAGGUAACCAGGAGGAGCCUUCUAUUCAACCAAUCUCAUUAAUAAGGAGCUCCAAAAGAGGAUUGAACCCACACAUGUGAAGGAAAUAUGCCCUAGAGGCAAUAAUAAAGUUAUUAUUUAUUUCCUUAUAUCAUGAUAAAGGUUUAUUAUUCAUGCUAGAAUUGUAUUAACCGGAAACAUAAUACAUGUGUAAAUACAUAGACAAACAGAGUAUCACUAGUAUGCCUCUACUUGACUAGCUCGUUAAUCAAAGAUGGUUAUGUUUCCUAACCAUGGACAAAGAGUUGUCAUUUGAUUAACGAGAUCACAUCAUUAGUUGAAUGAUCUGAUUGACAUGACCCAUUCCAUUAGCUUAGCACCCGAUCGUUUAGUAUGUUGCUAUUGCUUUCUUCAUGACUUAUACAUGUUCCUAUGACUAUGAAAUUAUGUAACUCUCAUGUGCCGGAGGAACACUUUGUGUGCUACCAAACGUCACAACGUAACUGGGUGAUUAUAAAGGUUCUCUACAAGUGUCUCCAAAGGUACAUUUUGGGUUAACGUAUUUCGAGAUUAGGAUUUGUCACUCCGAUCGUCGGAGAGGUAUCUCUGGGCCCUCUCGGUAAUGCACAUCACUUAAGCCUUGCAAGCAUUGCAACUAAUGAGUUAGUUGCGGGAUGAUGUAUUACGGAACGAGUAAAGAGACUUGCCGGUAACGAGAUUGAACUAGGUAUUGCAUACCGACGAUCGAAUCUUGGGCAAGUAACAUACCGAUGACAAAGGGAACAACGUAUAUUGUUAUGCGGUCUGACCGAUAAAGAUCUUCGUAGAAUAUGUAGGAGCCAAUAUGGGCAUCCAGGUCCCGCUAUUAGUUAUUGACCGGAGACGUGUCUCGGUCAUGUCUACAUUGUUCUCGAACCCGUAGGGUCCGCACGCUUAAGGUUUCGAUGACAGUUAUAUUAUGAGUUUAUACAUUUUGAUGUACCGAAGGUUGUUCGGAGUCCCGGAUGUGAUCACGGACAUGACUAGGAGUCUCGAAAUGGUCGAGACAUAAAGAUUGAUAUAUUGGAAGCCUAUGUUUGGAUAUCGGAAGUGUUCCGGGUGAAAUCGGGAUUUUACCGGAGUACCGGGAGGUUACCGGAACCCCCCGGGAGCUAUAUGGGCCUUAGUGGGCCUUAGUGGAAAAGAGAAGAGGCAACCAGAGAUGGGCCGCGCGCCCCUCCCCUCCCUUGGUCCGAAUAGGACAAGGAGAGGGGGCCGGCCCCCCUUCUCCUUUUCCCCCCUCCGCGAAUCCUAUUCCAACUAGGAUUGGGGGGGGGGGGGAAUCCUACUCCCGUAGGGAGUAGGACUCCUCCUGGCGCGCCACCUCUAAGCCNNNNNNNNNNNNNNNNNNNNNNNNNNNNNNNNNNNNNNNNNNNNNNNNNNNNNNNNNNNNNNNNNNNNNNNNNNNNNNNNNNNNNNNNNNNNNNNNNNNNNNNNNNNNNNNNNNNNNNNNNNNNNNNNNNNNNNNNNNNNNNNNNNNNNNNNNNNNNNNNNNNNNNNNNNNNNNNNNNNNNNNNNNNNNNNNNNNNNNNNNNNNNNNNNNNNNNNNNNNNNNNNNNNNNNNNNNNNNNNNNNNNNNNNNNNNNNNNNNACCCCCUAGAGACACAAGUUGAUCCACAUGAUCAUAUUCUUAGCCGUGUGCGGCGCCCCCUGCCACCAUAGUCCUCGAUAAUAUUGUAGCGGUGCUUAGGCGAAGCCCUGCGACAGUAGUACAUCAAGAUCGUCACCAAGCCGUCGUGCUGACGGAACUCUUCCCCGACACUUUUCUGGAUCGGAGUCCGGGGAUCGUCAUCGAGCUGAACGUGUGCUAGAACUCGGAGGUGUCGUAGUUUUGGUGCUUGAUCGGUCGGGCCGUGGAGACGUAUGACUACAUCGACCAAACGCUUCCGUUGUCGAUCUACAAGGGUACGUAGAUCACACUCUCCCCUCUCGUUGCUAUGCAUCACCAUGAUCUUGCGUGUGCGUAGGAAUUUUUUUGAAAUUACUACGUUCCCCAACAACAUGAUGUGAAGAAGAAAAAGAAAAGACGAAGAAUAAAGGUAGAAAGGUAUCUCUCCCAAAUGAUGUUGCCCCUAUUUCUCAUUGUGAUGAUUAUAAUUGCUAUACUAUUGGUGCUAUACUAUGUUUGAUGAAGAUGAUGUUUUUGAGAAUAUAUUUGCUGCAAUUAAUGUUUGUCCCAAGCUUGGGGAUGCUACGUUUAAUGAAGAUGAUAUUUUUAGUCUCCCAAGUUUUGAUAUGCAAAUUUAUAAUGAUGAUAGCAUGCCUCCUAUUUAUGAUGAUUAUAUUGAUGAAAGUGGUUUUGGAAGAGUGUCAACUUUAGGAAGUAAUGAUCCCACUAUUUUGGAGGAUGUUGAAUCUUAUUAUGAUAAUUAUGAAAGUGUAUUUGGAGAGGUCAUGACUUUAUUUAGUGAUGAUUCCACUAUCUUGGAAGAGGUUUCAAUCGAUUAUGAUGAGAACAAAGUUGCUACUUAUGAUAAUUAUUGUGAUGAUACAUAUGCUAUAAAAAGUAGUGAUGAUUAUAUUUAUAAAACUUGUCAUGAUUGUGAUUACCCUUUUUCUGAACAUUACUCUUUUAAUGUGGAAACAAUUUAUAGUAUUCAAGUCUCUUAUGAUACUCCCACUAUUCCGACAAAGAAGAAUUUUGCUUAUGUAGAGAGUAGUAAAUUUUCUAUGCUUGUAGAUCAUGAAAAGAAUGCUUUAGGUGCUGGUUAUAUUGUUGAAUUCAUUCAUGAUGCUACUGAAAAUUAUUAUUAGGGAGGAAUAUAUGCUCGUAGGAAUUGCAAUAAUAUAAAGUUUCCUCUCUAUGUGCUUAAAAUCUUGAAGUUAUGCUUGUUUUGCUUUCCUAUGCAAGUUGAUUCUUGUUCCCACAAGUUGUUUGCUCACAAAAUUCCUAUGCAUAGGAAGUGGGUUAGACUUAAAUGUGCUAGUCAUAUUCUUCAUGAUGCUCUCUUUAUGUUACAAUUCUUAUCCUUUAUGUGAGCACCAUUGAAAUCAUCAUGCCUAGAUAGGGGCGUUAAACGAUAGCGCUUGUUGGGAGGCAACCCAAUUUUUAUGUUUGUUCCUUGCUUUUUGCUCCUGUUUAGUAAUACAUAAUUCAUCUAGCCUCUGGUUAGAUGUGGUUUUAUGUUUUAAUUAGUGUUUGUGCCAAGUAAGCCUUUAGGAUCUUCUUGGGUGAUUGUUAUUUGAUCUUGCUGUAAAAAACAAAAAGUAUGCGCUCACGAGAAUAAUUUUCAUUUUUUACCAGAGAGCGAUAAAAUACAAUUCAAAUUGUAGUAGAUUAAUAAACAAAUUACCUAGGACUUACUAAUUUCUCAGGAUUUUUGGGGUUCCAGAAGUACUCAAAACCUACAGAUUAGUACAGACUGUUCUGUUUUUGACAGAUUCUUUUUUUCGUGUGUUGUUUGCUUAUUUUAAUGAAUCUAUGGCUAGUAAAAGAGUUUAUAAACCAUAGAGAAGUUGGAAUAAAUUAUGUUUAACACCAAUAUAAAUAAAGAAUUAGUCCAUUACAGUACCUUGAAGUGGUGUUUUGUUUUCUUUCGCUAACGGAGCUCACGAGGUUUCUGUUAAGUUUAUGUUGUGAAGUUUUCAAGUUUUGGGUAAAGAUUCGAUGGACUAUCGAAUAAGGAGUGGCAAGAUCCUAAGCUUGGGGAUGCCCAAGGCACCCCAAGGUAAUAUUCAAGGACAACCAAGAGCCUAAGCUUGGGGAUGCCCAUGAAGGCAUCCCCUCUUUCGCCUUCGUUCAUCAGUAACUUUACUUGGAGCUAUAUUUUUAUUCGCCACAUGAUAUGUGUUUUGCUUGGAGCAUCAUUUUAUUUUAUUUUGUUUUGCUUGCUGUUUGAAUAAAAUACCAAGAUCUGAAAUUCUUAAAUGUUAAGGAGUCUUCACAUAGUUGCAUAAUUAUCCGAUUACUCAUUGAUCUUCACUUAUAUCUUUCGGAGUAGUUUGCCAUUUGCUCUAGUGCUUCACUUAUAUCUUCUUAGAGUAUGGUGGUGGUUUUAUUUUGAAGAAAUUGUGAAACUAUCAUGCUUCACUUAUAUUAUUUUGAGAGUCUUUUAUAACAGCAUGGUAGUUUGCUUUGAUUAUGAAUUUAGUCCUAAUAUGAUAGGCAUCCAAGAGGGAUAUAAUAAAAACUUUCAUAUAAAGUGCAUUGAAUACUAUGAGAAGUUUGAUACUUGAUGAUUGUUUUGAGAUAUGAAGAUGGUGAUAUUAGAGUUAUGCUAGUUGAGUAGUUGUGAAUUUGAGAGAUACUUGUGUUAAAGUUUGUGAUUCCCGUAGCAUGCACGUAUGGUGAACCGUUAUCUGAUGAAGUCGGAGCAUGAUUUAUUUAUUGAUUGUCUUCCUUAUGAGUGGCGGUUGGGGACGAGCGAUGGUCUUUUCCUACCAAUCUAUCCCCCUAGGAGCAUGCGCAUAGUACUUUGUUUCGAUAACUAAUAGAUUUUUGCAAUAACUAUGUGAGUUCUUUAUGACUAAUGUUGAGUCCAUGGAUUAUACGCACUCUCACCCUUCCACCAUUGCUAGCCUCUCUAGUAUCGCGCAACUCCCGCCGGUACCAUAAACCCACCAUAUACCUUCCUCAAAACAGCCACCAUACCUACCUAUUAUGGCAUUUCCAUAGCCAUUCCGAGAUAUAUUGCCAUGCAACUUUCCACUGUUCCAUUAUUAUGACACGCUUCAUCAUUGUCAUAUUGCUUGCAUGAUCAUGUAGUUGACAUCGUAUUUGUGGUGAAGCUACCGUUCAUAAUUCUUCAUACAUUUCACUCAUGCAUCAUUGCAUAUCCCGGUACACUGCCGGAGGCAUUCAUAUAGAGUCAUAUCUUGUUCUAAGUAUUGAGUUGUAAUUAAAUAUAAGUGUGAUGAUCAUCAUUAUUAGAGCAUUGUCCCAGUGAGGAAAGGAUGAUGGAGACUAUGAUUCCCCCACAAGUUGGGAUGAGACUCCGGACGAAAAAAAGAGAAAGGCCAUAAAAAAGGGAGAAGGCCCAAAAAAAUGAGAAUAAAAGAGAGAAGGGACAAUGCUACUAUCCUUUUUUCACACUUGUGCUUCAAAGUAGCACCAUGCUCCAUGAUAGAGAGUCUCCUAUGAUAUCACUUUUAUAUACUAGUGGGAAUUUUUCAUUAUAGAACUUGGCUUGUAUAUUCCAAUUAUGGGCUUUCUCAAAUUGCCCUAGGUCUUCAUGAGCAAGCAAGUUGGAUGCACACCCACUUAGUUCUUUUGUUGAGCUUUCAUACACUUAUAGCUCUAGUGCAUCCGUUGCAUGGCAAUCCCUACUCACUCACAUUGAUAUCUAUUGAUGGGCAUCUCCAUAGCCCGUUGAUACGCCUAGUUGAUGUGAGACUAUCUCCUCCUUUUUGUCUUCUCCACAACCACCAUCCUAUUCCACAUAUAGUGCUAUAUCCGUGGCUCACGCUCAUAUAUUGCGUGAAGAUUGAAAAAGUUUGAGAACACCAAAUGUAUGAAACAAUUGCUUGGCUUGUCAUUGGGGUUGUGCAUGAUUUAAAUAUUUUGUCUGGUGAAGAUAGAGCAUAGCCAGACUAUAUGAUUUUGUAGGGAUAGUUUUCUUCGGCCAUGUUAUUUUGAGAAGACAUGAUUGCUUUGUUAGUAUGCUUGAAGUAUUAUUAUUUUUAUGUCAAUAUUAAACUUUUGUCUUGAAUCUUAUGGAUCUGAAUAUUCUUGGCACAAUAAAGAGAACUACAUGGAUAAAUAUGUUAGGUAGCAUUCCACAUCAAAAAUUCUAUUUUUAUCAUUUACCUACUCGAGGACAAGCAGGAAUUAAGCUUGGGGAUGCUUGAUACGUCUCCAACAUAUCUAUAAUUUUGUAUUGUUCCAUGCUAUUAUAUUAUCAAUCUUGAAUGUUUUAUAUGCAUUUAUAUGCUAUUUUAUAUGAUUUUUGGGACUAACCUAUUAACCUAGAGCCUAGUGCCAGUUUCUGUUUUUUUCCCUUGUUUUAGAGUAUCGCAGAAAAGGAAAAUCAAACGGAGUCCAAUUGACCUGAAACUUCACAGAACUUAUUUUUGGAACGGAAGCAAUCCAGGAGACUUGGAGUAGACGUCAGGGAAGCUUCAAGGGAGGCACGAGGCAGGGAGGCGCACCCUACCCCCCUGGGCACGCCCCCACCCUCGUGGGCCCCUCGUGGCUCCCCUGACAGAUUUCUUUCGCCUAUAUAUAUCCAUAUACCCUAAAAACAUCGAAGAGCGGAAUAGAUCGGGAGUUUCGCCGCCAGAAGCCUCCGUAGCCACCGAAAACCAAUCUAGACCCGUUCCGGCACCCUGCCGAAGGGGGGAAUCCCUCUCCGAUGGCCAUCUUCAUCAUCCCGGUGCUCUCCAUGACGAGGAGGGAGUAGUUCUCCCUCGGGGCUGAGGGUAUGUAUCAAUAGAUAUGUGUUUGAUCUCUCUCUCUCGUGUUCUUGAGGUGAUACGAUCUUGAUGUAUCGCGAGCUUUGCUAUUAUAGUUGGAUGUUAUGAUGUUUCUCCCCCUCUACUCUCUUGUGAUGAAUUGAGUUUUCCCUUUGAAGUUGUCUUAUCGGAUUGAGUCUUUAAGGAUUUGAGGACACUUGAUGUAUGUCUUGCAUGUGUUUAUCUGUGGUGACAAUGGGAUAUCAUGUGAUCCACUCGAUGUAUGUUUUGGUGAUCAACUUGCAAGUUCCGUGACCACGCGAACUUAUGCAUUGGGGUUGGCACACGUUUUCGUGUUGACACUCCGAAAGAAACUUUGGGGCACUCUUUGAAGUUCUUUGUGUUGGUCGAAUAGAUGAAUCUGAGAUUGUGUGAUGCAUAUCGUAUAAUCAUACCCACGGAUACUUGAGGUGACAUUGGAGUAUCUAGGUGACAUUAGGGUUUUUGUUGAUUUGUGUCUUUAAGGUGUUAUUCUAGUAUGAACUCUAUGAUAUAUUGAACGGAAAGAAUAGCUUCAUGUUAUUUUACACGGACUCUUGAAUAGAUCGAUCAGAAAGGAUAACUUUGAGGUGGUUUCGUACCCUACCAUAAUCUCUUCGUUUGUUCUCCGCUAUUAGUGACUUUGGAGUGACUCUUUGUUGCAUGUUGAGGGAUACUUAUAUGAUCCAAUUAUGUUAUUAUUGUUGAGAGGACUUGCACUAGUGAAAGUAUGAACCCUAGGCCUUGUUUCAACGCAUUGCAAUACCAUUUACGCUCACUUUUAUCAUUAGUUACCUUGCUGUUUUUAUAUUUUCAGAUUACAAAAACCAUUAUCUACUAUCCAUAUUGCACUUGUAUCACCAUCUCUUCGCCGAACUAGUGCACUCAUACAAUUUACCAUUGCAUUGGGUGUGUUGGGGACACAAGAGACUCUUUGUUAUUUGGUUGCAGGGUUGCUUGAGAGAGACCAUCUUCAUCCUACGCCUCCCGUGGAUUGAUAAACCUUAGGUCAUCCAGUUGAGGGAAAUUUGCUACUGUCCUACAAACUUCUGCACUUUGAGGCCCAACAACGCCUACAAGAAGAAGGUUGUGUAGUAGACAUCAAGCUCUUUUCUGGCGCCGUUGCCGGGGAGGUGAGUGUUUGAAGGUAUAUCUUUAGAUCUUGCAAUCGAAUCUUUUAGUUUCUUGUUUUAUCACUAGUUUAGUUUAUAAAAGAAAACUACAAAAAAUGGAAUUGAGUUUGCCUCAUACGCUUCAUCUUUUUAAUAUCUUUCGUGAUAAUGAUGGAAAGAAAAAUUGUGCUCAAGUGCUCGAAGAAGAAGUCUAUAGAAUGUUUGGCACUAAAUUUUGGAUGAUGAGCAUGAUUGCAAUGUUAUUAGUAUGAUCUCUUUGAAUAUCCAUAGUACUAAUGAUGAUUGCACUAGUUAUGAUGAAAAUAUCUCUUUUAAGCAUGUAGAUUUUUGUGGAGUGCACAGAGUUUGCAAGUACAACCAAACAGGGAAGAUAGAUUUUGCAAGAGGCAUAAGUAUUUGGAAACUAAAUGGUUGCAAGAGAGGCUAUAUGUUAGUGCUGAAAAUUUAAAAUAUCUUAGCCGUACUUGUGAACUUUGCAAUGAACAUGGUCAUUUAAAUAUCAAAUGCAAAUUGUUUCAUGAUCGAAUCAUGUCCAAAAAUUGUGAUGACUUGAUUUCCCUUGCACAUCAUAAUGAACUUAGUUUUCUUUUGGGUGAUGAAGAAAUGAAAUGUCAAACUAAGCAUAUUCUAGAAUAUAACCUUGAGAAAUUCCUCGAUAUUGAUCUAGAAGAAAUUUAUAUGUAUUGUGCGAUGAAUUGCAUUGAAAAUCCUUAUAUUUCCAAUUACAUAAAGAAAAAAAAACAAAUAGAAGAUGAGGAGAAUACUAACGAAUGGGAAGAGAUUUCCCAGUAUUCUCCUAUUAUUUCUUAUGAUGAAUCAGGUAACGAGGAGGAGCCUUCUAUUCAACCAAUCUCAUUAACAAGGAGCUCCAAAAAGAGGAUUGAACCCACACAUGAUGUGAAGAAGAAAAAGAAAAGACAGAGAAGUAAAGGUAGAAAGGUAUCUCUCCCAAAUGAUGUUGCUCCUAUUUCUCAUUGUGAUGAUGAUAAUUUCUAUACUAUUGGUGCUAUCCAUACUAUUAAUGAUGAGAGUGAUUAUGCUUAUGAUAUGAAAAGGCCCAAGCUUGGGGAUGCUAUGUUUGAUGAAGAUGAUGUUUUUGAGAAUAUAUUUGCUGCAAUUAAUGUUUGUCCCAAGCUUGGGGAUGCUACGUUUAAUGAAGAUGAUAUUUUUAGUCUCCCAAGUUUUGAUAUGCAAAUUUAUAAUGAUGGUAGCAUGCCUCCUAUUUAUGAUGAUUAUAUUGGUGAAAGUGGGUUUGGAAGAGUGUCAACUUUAGGAGAUUGCAAUGAUACAUGCAACUAAAAUUUAUCUAGUCACAAUUCAUGUGUGGAAACCAAUGUAUGCAAAAAAAAAUGUUUUGCAGGUUUGAAAGAUAGGGGAGGGGGAGCUAAACCAGUGCCAUAGUGCCAAUUUUCAUAAUUUUUUCACAAUUGGUUAAUUAUAUGUGUCAUUAGGAUGGAAAUUGCCUUUCUUUACAUGUUGGGGUAGGGGGGGGGUACCACAAAUAAUCUAAUAGCAUGCAAUCUUGUUUGUAAAUUUUCCAUCUUUUUCAAAGAACAAAAUCCUUAAAUUUGUUGUCUUCUGACAAUUUUUACUUUCAUUGUUCGUGGGAGGUUUUGCUUUCAUGGGACCAUGGAAAGUUUUCUAUAUGAAACAUUACUAUUAAACAAUAUAUGCUACAAUUUUUUGUGUGUCCUGCAUGAUUAUAAUUUUUAGUCCACAUUUUUUAUAUCUUCAUGUAUGUAGUAAAAAUACCUUACAAAAUUAAUCCACAUUUUUUCUGCUAAUGUUCUUGAAAAUCAUAAGUAAAUUCUACCUCGUUCCCACUCGUCAAAUAAUACCAGCAGAUUUAAUCCACAUAUUUUACCACAGCAACUUAAAAUAUAACACCAUGGUAAUUUUUAUUAAUUAAAGCAUGAAAAAUUUUAUAAACUAGAGUAUAGCUAAGACAUGCCAUAUUUUUGACGACGUAGAAACAUAUACCACAAGGCAAUGUGUAUUAUGAAGGAAAUAUGCCCUAGAGGCAAUAAUAAAGUUAUUAUUUAUUUCCUUAUAUCAUGAUAAAUGUUUAUUAUUCAUGCUAGAAUUGUAUUAACCGGAAACAUGAUACAUGUGUGAAUACAUAGACAAACAGAGUGUCACUAUUAUGCCUCUACUUGACUAGCUCGUUGAUCAAAGAUGGUUAUGUUUCCUAGCCAUAGACAAAGAGUUGUCAUUUGAUUAAUGGGAUCACAUCAUUAGGAGAAUGAUGUGAUUGACUUGACCCAUUCCGUUAGCUUAGCACUUGAUCGUUUAGUUUGUUGCUAUUGCUUUCUUCAUAACUUAUACAUGUUCCUAUGACUAUGAGAUUAUGCAACUCCCGUUUACCGGAGGAACACUUUGUGUUCUACCAAACAUCACAACGUAACUGGGUGAUUAUAAAGAUGCUCUACAGGUGUCUCCAAAGGUACUUGUUGGGUUGUUGUAUUUCGAGAUUAGGAUUUGUCACUCCGAUUGUUGGAGAGGUACCUCUGGGCCCUCUCGGUAAUACACAUCACUUAAGCCUUGCAAGCAAUGCAACUAAAUGAGUUAGUUGCGGAAUGAUGUAUUACAGAACGAGUAAAGAGACUUGCCGGUAACGAGAUUGAACUAGGUAUUGAGAUACCGACGAUCGAAUCUUGGGCAAGUAACAUACCGGUGACAAAGGGAACAACGUAUGUUGUUAUGCGGUCUGACCGAUAAAGAUCUUCGUAGAAUAUGUAGGAGCCAAUAUGGGCAUCCAGGUCCCGCUAUUGGUUAUUGACCAGAGAGGUGUCUCGGUCAUGUCUACAUACUUCUCGAACCCGUAGGGUCCGCACGCUUAAAGUUCGUUGACGAUAUAGUACUAUAAGUUAUGUAUGUUGGUGACUGAAUGUUGUUCGGAGUCCGGGAUGAGAUCAUGCACACGAUGAGGAACUCCGGAAUGGUCCGGAGAUAAAGUUUGAUAUAUGGGAUAAUAGUGUUUGGUCACCGGAAGGGUUCCGGAAUUCACCGGAAGGGGUUCCGAAUGUUUCCCGAAAUGUUUGGGUACGAGAACACUUUAUUUUGCCCAAAGGGGAAAGCCCACAAGGUUUUUGGAAAAGACCAAAAGGAAGUUUUGCGGAGUCCAGGGGCCAGACGCCAGGUCCCUGGCGUUUGGGUCCAGACGCCGGGAACCCUGGCGUCUGGCCCUGGAGUCCGAGAAGGACUCUUACCUUUCGGAUGAAACCGACUUUGUGGAGGCUUUUACUCCAAGUUUCGACCCCAAGGCUCAACAUAUAAAUAGAGGGGUAGGGCUAGCACCCAAGACACAUCAAGAAACACCAAGCCGUGUGCCGGCAACCCCGUCCCCACUAGUUUAUCCUCCGUCCUAGUUUUCGUAGUGCUUAGGCGAAGUCCUGCGGAGAUUGUUCUUUACCAACACCGUCACCACGCCGUCGUGCUGCCGGAACUCAUCUACUACUUCGCCCCUCUUGCUGGAUCGAGAAGGCGAGGACGUCACCGAGCCGAACGUGUGCAGAACUCGGAGAUGCCGUUCUUUCGGUACUUGGAUCGGUCGGAUCGUGAAGAUGUACGACUGCAUCAACCGCGUUGAUAUAACGCUUCCGCGAACGGUCUACGAGGGUACGUAGACAACACUCUCCCCUCUCGUUGCUAUGCAUCACCAUGAUCUUGCGUGUGCGUAUGAAAAAAACAGAAAACACAUUUUUUCCGUUUCCGAAAGGCACAUCUCUCGUGGAAGAAAAACCGUGACUUUCGCGAAAGGAAAAAAAAAGAAAAUCCGUUUUUUCGCGCAAAAAAAAAUUUCGAAUUUUUUUUAUCGAAAAGGUAAGAAAGACCAGGGGAAAACCAAAACGUCGAAAAAACCCGGAAAAAAACGUUUAAAAAGACGAAAACACGUGCGGAAAAAUAAAAAAACAAAAUCCGAAGGGAGCGUCCAAAGUGCGACACGUGGUAAAUGGCUAAAAACGCAUCAAGUGGUGCUGAUCAUUGCGAUGCUCCCGAAGGAGCGCUCGUUAACUAGUUGCUCCCUCGUUUGAUAGAUUGACCCUACCCAGCUAACGGUUUGUUCGAUACAGGAGCCCCGCAUGCAGACGGAACGUUUGGGAGAUAUAAGGGUCCAUAAAUAAAGUAACAACACAAGCAUUUGUCUCAAAAAAGAAGGCAGUUGUUACAUUCUUCCUCCAUCGACUGCCUUUGCACCCGUAAAAAAGAAAAUAAAAACGCGCACGCUGCACCAGGAGGCGCGCCCCAAUCUCUAGUUGUACUCGGUUCACUUCACUAAUAAUCAUAGGAUACUGGAAACACAAAAUUAGUACAGUAGCAGAAAAAAAGGAGGACGUAUGAAGCCUUGACAGUAAGAUAAAAUCCAAACUUAUGCAGGCAUGGUUCAACGGGAGCGUCCAGCAGGGCCACCUUGUUGGAACCGUUCUCUUACACGGAUGAAUGAAGGUAGAAAAAGGAGGAGCACACAGUACACUGGAGUUUCAUCCGACUUCACAGCCCCGUUAUUAUUCAGAGCUCCAACUGCCUCACGGCUACAGGCACAAGCACAACACUUAAGUAGAAGAUGCACGCGCACAGCUCAUCGACCACACCGGCCACUAAUCUAUGCACCUACGCAGGACCCGGCCUCACAACCGGCCACUAACCGCACGUACUCAUCCACUCCUAGAAAAGCUCACCUAGCUAACUAACUCAGCCUUGCAUGUAGGAGUAGCAAACUUGGCCAGCACACUCGCCAACGGCCUGCUCUACGUGCCAGACUGAGUACACACGCUACACACAUAUGCCACGUUGUUGUGUCUCGCACGUUCCGUCCGUCCCGCGCGCCACCGACGCGCCCGACGGCAUCAGUGUGUCCCGCGCGCAUCCGACGCGCCCGACGAGCCCGACCACACAUGCCAUGGCUUAUUCCAACACACACUCCCUAAGCCACGACCUAGAGGAGUCCGUCGUCGUCGACGUUGUAGCCGCCACCACCCUGAUGUCGCUGCCAAGCCUGCCACCGUGCCGCCGUGCCCUUCGCGCGCAGUCCCCACGUCCCCGCACUCCCGCCGCGCACGUACGUGAUCUGCGCAACCAGGUCCAGCGCCUCGACGCGGUCCACUCCCGCGGUCCCGACGCGCCCGACGCGUCUGGUGCGCACGCAUAACACGCACCGGUCGCGCCCGGCUCGCCGCCGCGCUUAUUGCCCUGCACCGUUGCGCCGUCAACCGCAGCGCAGCGCCUCCACGGUCAUCGCGCCGAGCCGCCGCGGCCUCUGCGACACCACGCAGGUCCUCCGCGACCUCCUCGUCUCCGCAAACGCUGCUCGUCGUGCGCACGGCAUCACGCCACACCGCCGUGGACUCGCCGCGCGUUGCCGAUGCCACGCGCUCGCCGCGCGCCCGGCAUCACGCCACACCGCCGUGGACUCGUCGCGCGAUGCGGACGCCACGCGCUCGCCGUGCACCGUUGCCAAGACCUUCAUAUCCGCCGCGCACCGCGGGCACCGCGGACGCCGCCGCGCGCCACGGCCGUUGUAGCUUAUUCCAACACACCUUACUCAAUUCUCAGAUCAGGCAGUUGGAGCAGCGGCGGUGGCCCCUUCCUCAGCGGACAUGUUUUUGAUCUUGCCCUUGCCCUUGGGCCUGCCAGCGGCGACAGCGCCGGCGAAGCCGGGGCCGAGUAGCUUGGGACACAAGAGCGGCGCGCUGAUCCCCAUGAUGGAGACCGUAAAGGGGCGCGCAACGACGACCUUGAAGAGCUUGGCGACACUUUCGGCGCCUGGGGAGCGUAGGUACAUCUGGCCGUCCUUGUCCAUGGAAUAGUCGAUGGUGCCUUGUCCUUAUCCAUGUUGGAGAGCAUGAUCUCCAGCUUGGCAACAUUGGUCUUCAUCUCGCCCAGCUGGAUGGGGUCAAAAUACUUGAUGAGCACAUGAUGCAGGAGGAUUGUCCGCUGCUUUGCGGCCGGCACCGCCACGAGUGGCUUUAUGGCCUUCUCGGGGACGACCAGCACGGACGCCGCCUUGAGCCGGCUCACGUCAUCACUACUAGGGAAAAGCUCAGCAGUAGCGCAGGUUUUGGGUGUAUCAGUAGCGCGGGGCGCCCGCGCUACUAAUACGGCGCCACAGCUAACUUGUAGCAGUAGCGCGUGUUGACACGUGCUACUGCUAUACAUAGUUAGCUGUAGUGUGCGUUGCAGUACAACGCUACUGCUAAUUAUCUGUAGCGGGUCUUAUACCCCGCGCUACUACUAUUACAUUCAAAAGAAAAAGAUAUAUCGAUCCCGUGCGUGUUGUUAAUGGCAGCAGUUGUUCGAUCCAGCAAUGGUUGGGGUCGCCGGAGGCAUGAACGAGCAGCGGCAGACCAGAUCUGGCAGUGGCUGUUGCAGGAGGGCCUGUUUCCAUGGAAGAGCAAGGCAGCGGCGUGGGGCUCCUCUUCCCGACCAUGCCAGAUAUGGUCGUCCAUGGCGACUACCUGCACGGGCAUGGACAUGGGAUUGUGAGUCAAACCAAAGGGAGAGAGAGAGAGAGAGAGAGAAAACCAAGGGAGAGAGGAAGGAGAUGGAGGGAGUAGCGGGGCUGGUCACCGGUGGUUAGGUCUCCGGCGUGGUGGCGCGAGGCGGCGGCCUCCUAGACGCCGGUGGAAGACCGGCGAGCUCCUAGACACCAGUGGCGCGAGGCGGCGCCCUCUUUCGAUGCCAUGGAGGAGGAGGGCGCAUGGGCAAGAGGUNNNNNNNNNNNNNNNNNNNNNNNNNNNNNNNNNNNNNNNNNNNNNNNNNNNNNNNNNNNNNNNNNNNNNNNNNNNNNNNNNNNNNNNNNNNNNNNNNNNNNNNNNNNNNNNNNNNNNNNNNNNNNNNNNNNNNNNNNNNNNNNNNNNNNNNNNNNNNNNNNNNNNNNNNNNNNNNNNNNNNNNNNNNNNNNNNNNNNNNNNNNNNNNNNNNNNNNNNNNNNNNNNNNNNNNNNNNNNNNNNNNNNNNNNNNNNNNNNNNNNNNNNNNNNNNNNNNNNNNNNNNNNNNNNNNNNNNNNNNNNNNNNNNNNNNNNNNNNNNNNNNNNNNNNNNNNNNNNNNNNNNNNNNNNNNNNNNNNNNNNNNNNNNNNNNNNNNNNNNNNNNNNNNNNNNNNNNNNNNNNNNNNNNNNNNNNNNNNNNNNNNNNNNNNNNNNNNNNNNNNAUGGCGACUACCUGCACGGGCAUGGACAUGGGAUUGUGAGUCAAACCAAAGGGAGAGAGAGAGAGAGAGAGAGAAAACCAAGGGAGAGAGGAAGGAGAGGGAGGGAGUAGCGGGGCUGGUCACCGGUGGUUAGGUCUCCGGCGUGGUGGCGCGAGGCGGCGGCCUCCUAGACGCCGGUGGAAGACCGGCGAGCUCCUAGACACCAGUGGCGCGAGGCGGCGCCCUCUUUCGAUGCCAUGGAGGAGGAGGGCGCAUGGGCAAGAGGUCAAUGUGAGAACGUAUGGAGAGAGAGAGAGAGAGGAGAGAGUGGCGGAAGAGAGGAGGGAUUUGGGGGAGGGGGAGGACGGGUGGGGAAAAGAUGGUGGGUGUGGAUUAGCAGUAGCGCGGUACGUAAAACGCGCUGCUGCUAAGAAAGUAGCAGCAGCGCGCUUUCAGUACAAGCGCUACAGCUAACCGGGGCCAAAAGUGUGCCCGAUUUAAAAAUUAGCAGCAGCGACCUCAGAAAAACCGCGCUACUGCUACAGCUAUAGCAGUAGCGCGGCUGGCGGCACCGCGCUGCUGCUAAAUGGAGUUGGGUGGGCACUAUCGCUCGAUAUUUGUAGCAGCACGGGUUACGCCGAGCGCGCUACUGCUAAGCACUUGUCAGUAGCGGGUUUUCCACACCCGCGCUACUGCUAAUUAGUAGCAGCGCUCCUUUUUGAGCCGCGCUGCUGCUAAGAUUCUGUGUAUAGAGUUUUCCCUAGUAGUGCAUCGGUGACCUUUAUCUCCUUCGGGAGCCACGGGAAGGUCGCAUAAAGCCACUCUUGGCGGUGCCGACCUUUGUAUCAUGGCAGAAAUAAUUUAUAUACAUGGCAUUUUUCUUAUACAAAGAAUGACAAUUAUAAGGAAAAAUAGAAUGGAAAUUUUAAAUAUGCAUCUACCAUGGCAACUUUGUUCAUAUUUUCAAUACGCCACUACAAUGUACAUACAUGGCAUUUUUCUUACACAAAUCAUGACAAUUAUAAGAAAAAAAUAGAAUGGAAAUUUUUUAAUAUGCAUCUACCAUGGCAACUUUGUUCAUACACUUCCCUCUAUUAGCUAGCUAACUCAAUAUAUGAAACCACUAAAUUAACCCUUCAAAACCCCCUAACCCCCCCCCCUUUCAAAAAAAAAAAACAUAACCCGCUGCUCCAGCCAGCUCCUGACGCGUGGAUGCCUUUUGGUCCUGGUUGGUGUUACCAACCGGGACUAGAGGUCCUCUGCCUAGGCGCCCCGCAACGGCCACGUGGAACCCUUUCUGUCCCGGUUCGUAAGCGAACCAAGAUUAAUGGUUUUGGGCUUUAGUCCCGACCCUUUAGUCCCGAUUCCAGAACCGGGGCUAAAGGGCCUCUGGAACCGGGGCUAAUGGGCCGUUUUCUACUAGUGUGUCUAGUUCAUUAACCAUGUCAUGGCAAAAAAGUUAUGUGGAUUAAGAUAUGCCAAAAUUUUCAAAAAUGCAUGCCUCAUACAUCAAAUCAAGAUUUGAGAUAUUUCAUGGAAUUUAUCACAUGACAAACAUGUAUGAAAAUUUGAUGUUCAUAACAUUUUAUCCUUUUUAAGAGUAGGGAAAAUUUUACUUUGUGGCAUGGCAAAUUAACCUAUUUCCAUGGCAAGUUUACUUUUAUUGCCAUGAAAAGUUUUUCCUUUUUUUAUUUUCCAUGGAAAUUUUAUCUUUACCAUAUAUGGGAAUUUUUAAUUUAAUUGCUCAUGAAAAAUUUACCUUUUUUGCCGUGGAAAAUUUACUUAUAGUGCCCUGUAAAUUUAAUUUACAUCCAUGAAAAUUUUAGUUUCAUCGUUUGUGGGAUUCUUUGCAUGCAUGGGACCACGUUAAUUUUUCUAUAUGAAACAUGAAAAAUUACUAUUAAACAAUAUAUGGUACACUUUUUGUGUUCUACGUGAUGGCAAUUUUUAAUCCACAUAUUUUGUGCCUUCAUGUACGUUGUCAAACACCUUACAAAAAUAAUCCACAUUUUCUGUGCUAACGUUUUUAAAAUCAUAGGUAAAUUCUAACUCGCCCCACCCGUGAAAUAAUACCUGAAGAUUUAAUCCUCAUGUUUUACCACGACAACUUAAAAUACACCACCAUGGUAAUUUUUAUUAAUUAAAGCAUGAAAAACUUUAUAAACUAGAGUAUGGCCAACACAAGGUAGAAACAUAUACCACAAGGCCAAUGCAUAUUAUAUCCUCACCAAAUUGCUAUGCGUUACAUAUUUUUGCGUAUUUUUUCCUCUGCAUUUUUUUGUGGUCUCAACAGUUUUAGGAUGCGGUGUUUUGAAUCUACAGUAAGACAUGGCAAAUACUAGGUUUUCCUAGUCGUGCCAGUGCAAGAGGGACAUCUUUUCGGCCAGCGUUAAUAAGGCUUGUUUUUUGGGCUACUACUUGGCACGUUUUUGGCCCAGCGUUGGAUUGAUGCAACCUCUAUUAGUGAGCGAUGGGGUGUUUGGUCACGCUGUUCGAUUGAUCGACCCUACCCAGCCAACGGUUGGUUCGGUACAGGAGAUAUCAGGGUCCAUAAAAUCAAAUUAACAUCACAAGCAGUUGUCUCAAAAAAUAAGGCAGUUGUUACAUUCUUCCUCGAUUGACUGCCUUUGCACCCAAAAAAAUGCGCACACUGCACAGGAUGCGCGCCCCAACCUCUAGUUGUACUUGGUUCACUUGACUCAUAAUCAUAGGAAACUGGAAACACAAAGUUAAUACAGUAGCAGAAAAAAGAAGAUGUAUGGAGCCUUGACAUUAAGAUAAAAUCCAAAGUUGUGCACGCAUGGUUCAACGGGGCGUCCUGGAGGGCCACCUUAACCAGCACCUUCAGCUCCAAAUAUAAAAUGCUCGAUGGGAGGGGUAUGUCACGUUGGGGGAUCGUGCUGGAGGGUUUCGCCUAGCAAACGAAAUCGUUCAAUGGAUCGACUGCUGACGGUGUGUUCGGUAUUCCCUAAAAAAACUGUGUGUUCGGUACAGGAGCCCCGCAGACGGAACGUUCGGGAGAUACCAGGGUCCAUAGAAAAAGCAACAACAAAAGUAGUUGUCUCAAAAAGAAGGCAGUUGUUACAUUCUUCCUCGAUCUGACUGCCUUUGCACCAAACAAGAAAAAAACACGCACGCUGCACAGGAGGUGCGCCCCAACCUCUAGUAGUACUGCGAUUCACUUCACUAAUAAUCAUAGGAUACUGGAAACACAAAAUUAGUACAGUAGCAGAAAAGAAGAAGAUGUAUGAAGCCUUGGCAUUAAGAUAAAAUCCAAAGUUGUGCGCGCAUGGUUCAACGGGGGACCUGCAGGGCCACCUUACUCAAUUCUCAGAUCAGGCAGUUGGAGCCGCGGCGGUGGCCCCUUCCUCAGCGGACAUGGUUUUGAUCUUGCCCUUGCCCUUGCCCUUGGGCCUGCCAGCGGCAGCGCCGGCGGCGCCAGGGCCGAGUAGCUUGGGGCACAAGAGCGGCGCGCUGAUCUCCAUGAUGGAGAUGGUGAAGGGGCGCGCGGCGACGACCUUGACGAGCUUGGCGACACUGUCGGCGCCUGGGGAGCGUAGGUACAUCUGGCCGUCCUUGUCCUUGGAGUAGUCGAUGGUGCCCAUGUCCUCAUCCGUGUUGGAGAGCAUGGUCUGGAGCUUGGCAACGUUGGUCUUCAUCUCGCCCAGCUGGAUGGGGUCGAAAUACUUGAUGAGCACAUGAUGCAGGAGGAUCGUCCUCUGCUUGGCGGCCGGCACCGCCAAGAGUGGCUUCACGGUCUUCUCGGUGACGACCAGCACGGAAGCCGACUUGAGGCGGCUCACGUCAUCGGCGACCUUUGUCUCCUUCAGGAGCCUCAGGAAGGUCGCGUACUGGGGUUUUCCGGCGAGCAGCUGCACCACAUCGAUGGCAGCCAGCGACGCUGGCGUCGCCGCGGCGAGCAGGAGGAUUGCGACAAGGACUUUGGACGCCAUCGUGGUUGAUUGUGGAUAUGAUGGUGAUGAUCUAGAUGUAUGGCUCAUUAUAAAGAAUGGGGUUGCAGCUAUAUUUGUGGAAGAGGUUGUUUCCUCCAAACAUUCUGCGGACGGCCAGGCAUUGGUUCCGGGUAAUUUCACACCCUGGUUUCUAUUAAUGGAAAUCGAAGGUGAGGCCUCUCUUUCUUCAAAAAAAUAAAUAUGCAUUGGAUCUCAUAUUGUGGCCACUUCACAUCUAUACCCCGGUUCUCCGUCCUUUACGUGUUUAUUUAUAGCUAUUACUAAAGAAGGGGAUGUGGACUUGGAGUUUUAAUCUAGUUCAAGAUUUUAUAUUGCAUUUCUAUGCGGUUCAAGAUUUUGUAUUUGCAUUUCCAUAUCCUUUAUCACUUCUAUAUUGAUGUACUACAUUAUUCCUGAUUAUUAUUUUUAAAUUUUUGGUACGAUUGUUUUUUAAAAACUAACUUAAGAUUAGGGGAUCCCAUAUUGCGGCCACAUCACAUCUAUACACAGUUCUCCGUCCUUUACGUGUUUAUUUAUAGAUGUUAUUACUAAAGAAGGGGAGUGGACGUGGCGUUUUUAUCUAAUUCAAGAUUAUGUAUUUGCAUUUCUAUGUGGUUCACGAAUCUGUAUUUGCAUUUCUAUAUCGUUAGCACUUCUAUAGUGCUGUACUACAUUCGGUGGGACCAUCCGUGGGCAGUGCAGGCUGCAGGUGGGAGUUAAGGGGUGAACUUAAGGACACAACGAUUCGGUGCCCAGGUGCAUGAACAGUACAAUCAGUUGCAGCGUUAGCAGUGCAAACACGUCUGUUUUCCUAGCGGAGCUAGCCGUUGUAUGCAGCAAAGUGAUCGGCCAAAGAACGACCAUGCACACGGCCAAAGAGCAGUGUGUUACCAUUAGCAUGCAUAAGAAAGGAAGCUUGUACUAAGUGAACUCCGUUGAACGACCAUGACCAAAAAGGGCACUCGGCAGCAUGGCGUAUCCGACGGCAUAGCUGCACGAGGACGGGCGGCUUGGCCUUGUUCUGCGUCACCAUCGAGGUGUGGCAGAGCUGCACAUGUAGCAGAUGGGACAACGGCGAGCCAUAAGAGCAUCUCCAGCCGUUGGCCCCUCAGGGGGCGUGUAAAAGCGCCGCCUGGGGGUGAGCCGGCGCAAAAAAUGGCCCUGGGGCGAGUCGAUCCCCACCCGUCGGCCCCAGGGUCGCCCCAGGCGCGUAUUAAAAUAAAAAAAGGAGGACCGUUCGGCGAAGUUAUGAUAAAAACUAGUUAAAUUUCGGCCAAACAUGGCAAGUUUCGAUGAAAUUCGUACAUUUUCAUUACAUUAACCUAAUCUAAAAAAGAAAGGGGCUGAAGUUGUCGCCGCCGUCGCCGCCAUCGUCGUCGCCGGCCUUCUCCUCCUUGACACGGGCGCCCCUGCUAGACCCCUGCCCGGCGUCGCCAUGGCGGACUGGCGGCGGCGCGUCGUCGUCGUCGCUGUCGCAUAAGACGACGACCCCGUCUUCAUCGCGGCCGCGUCGGCGCUCCUCGAAGCGGCGCAGGGCGGCGCGCUGGCGCUCCUUCUCCUUCUCCCGAUGCGCCUUCUCCAUCGCAAUGGAGUCCUGGCACGCCCAUUCUAGGGCCGCGUCGUCGUCGUCGAACUCCGCCUUCACCGGCACCAGCCCCGGCUCCAACUUUGGCUUGACGAAGCGCGGAGGAGCCGACGAGGAGGAGGAGCGCCGGCCACCCUCGUUGAUGAGAUGCCGACGCUGCGAGUGCGCCGACCGAUUGGCGUCUCCGCCGCGGGCUCGGCCUUGACGCCGAGAAGCGCCGGUGUUGCGACGGGGCGGCCCCCAUCGCAGGAUAGGUCAACGGCGGGUUGUUGCCGUCGUCGAGGUACGCCAGCACGCCAUCCAGUGUGCGGCCGGGGACGCCCCACCACAAGUGGCACCCCUCGCUGUUCUUCACGCCGCCGACCACCGCCGCGCCAUUGGUGGAGGCCAGGCGCUGCUGCUGGCGGCGCCGGAAGUACGCCGCCCAAGCCGCGUGAUUGCCGGCGGCGUACAGGGGGAGGGAGCGCUCGUCGUCGGUCAGGGAGGCGCGUGCGACCUCGACCUCCUCGGCGAAGUACCUGGGCUUCGCCACGGCGUCGGGUAACGGGGGAACGGGCACUCCCCCGUCGGCCCAGCGCGCAUGUCCGGCGGCGCCGGGAUGUUCGCCUGGAACAGGAGACAGGACUCCUGUUCGCGGAGCGAACGGUGGCCGAAGCCGUUCGCCGCCGCCUCAUCUCCGGGGAAGCGCUCUGCCAUGGCGACGGGCUCGGCGGUGGUAGAGAGGGAGAGAGAGGGGCUGCCGGUGGCGCUCGGGGGAGGAAGACGGAGACGGAGAGAGAGGGGCUGGGCGGCGGCGAGGGGCGAGUCUGGUGUGGGCACAGGCGACCGCCGGCUUUUAUAACCGCUCCGCGCCCGUGUGUACGCGUGCGAGGGAGGGGAGGCGUCGGCGCACCGUCCCGUGAGGCAAGGCUGAUCGGCGGCAGCCUUGCCAUUGAUUCCCCGCGGGAACCGAGGCAUUUGGGGGAAGACGAGCCGCCGUGUCCCUGACGCGGCUGGCCUGCGGCUUUUUCGCGCCAAAACAGUUCGCCCUGGCGCCCCCGGGCACCCCCCAGCGCGCCGGGUUCGGCCUGGGUCCGCCGGCGCUGUUUUGGCCCAGGCCGGCGAAAAUCGGGCUCCUGGGAGUGCGACUGGGCUAUUUUUUUCGGCGCCGACGCAAAAGAAAACACCUGAGGAGGCCUUCCUGAGGACGCGGCUGGAGAUGCCCUAAGGAAAGGCCUACAAGCAGCACCGGUGAGUUGUCCAUCCCAGCACGAGCGGAGCUGAACGACAUACAUGAAAGGGAACCGCGUGUCGGCAACUACAAGGACGAGACGAAUAUUUUUUAUGGAGGGACGGGAGUCGUUGAGAAUAGCAGGGAAGAAGAUAAUGACAUGCGACGCCAUUUUUUUCAUCUGCGACGAUUUUAAAAAGAGGUCCUAGGUCCUUUUUAUAAUAUAGAAGAAAACAGUGUAUGAGAGGAGAUUUUUUCACACUGGCUUACUUGCAUCUGUGACUUAUAAAUAAUAAUUUUAUUAUUAUAUUGGAUGUAUGGGAGGAGAUUUGUGGCACCUGCGCUGCCAUUGCUCCCACAUUUAGGGCUGUUGUAGACUGCUCAUCCACCUCAUGAUUCAGAAAGGUGAAAAGGUUAUGUGCAUGGUGUUAAAAUAUAUUGCCCGUGUUCUUUCAUCAGUUCAGACUUUUGGAUGAGUUGGCUAGAGCAUUAAUUCAAUAUUGUAUCAGAGUCCAGAGGUCUUGAGUUCAAGACCCUGCUAAUGCAAUAUUAAAAUAAAAAUGAUUAUGCGGCCUACAUCGAUCACACGUCUAAGGACUAAAAUAGUCUAGACCUGAGGGGAGAUGCUCCAUCCAUCCUAUCUCUCAUACUUUUUCAUUUGACUUUCAAUUUUCAAUUUAUUAUAUAUUUGAGCUGAAAGUUUAAUUUAUGUUGUGUUUGCAUAUUCAUGAUCCUUGUGAUGAGGGCUUUGAAAUAAGAUCAUUGAAUAACCUAUGACAAUUUUUAAUUUGAACCAAGCUUCAAACUAUGAAAACUUGAUAAGAACGAAUGAUCCACCAACAGAUGCGGUUGCUCGUAGGCAGGCGGACCAGACGGGCCUUAGAACACGUGUCACUGUCACACACUCUCCAUGCCACCACCCUGCCUCCCGUGGUAGAAGAGGAAUAACCUACUGGUGCCGCUGCUACCGGAGCCACCGCCCGCACCUCAACACGACACCCAAAGAGCUCGCUGCACCUCUGCCAUCACCAGCCCCUCUAGCACCGGGAGAGAGAGAGAGAGAGAGAGAGAGAGAGAGAGAGAGAGAGAGAGAGAGAGAGAGAGAGAGAGCCCUGCUGCUAUCUAUCGCUGGAAGGGGCUUUCCCCCAUCCUUCGGCUCCGGCAAGGGAGUAAUGGGGGAGGAUUUUUGCUCGGUGGCAGUUACAGUUUCGCUGCUCUAGUUGCCCCUGGCAGUGUAGAUGUUUUGUGUUCUUUUUAUUUUGGAAAUGAUAUAUAGCAAACGUCCCACAGGAGCGUAAAUUUUUUUUUUUUGAGCGAACGGUCUAUGGGACAAUCGAUCCUGAGUGCGAAUCUCAACGUGGUGAUAUGUGGCAAUCGCGGUGGGGCAAUGUUUGCUCAAAGUCUGCACAUGGCAUCGUUCGCUCGCAGGAGGCUCCAGAGCGAACAACAUCGUUUACGAGAGGCUCCUAGAAAGCGCGAUAAUUUGUUCCACAGAAACUAGGGGAGCACGUUCUCUCCUUAUUAAGGUCCUUUCUUUUUCACUUCAACUAUACCGUGACCGAUGGGCCAUUUAGUGGCGCGUCAGCUGAAAAUGAUGCUAUGGUGCCGAACUACGCGUCGACGGGUGAUGCACGCUGCAUGACUUUGAUAGCUGACUUCUCUGGUCAAUAGAUAAAAGACGAAAGAGGAAGAUUUUUUCGUCACUAUGGGCCACUGACGCUGUUCUCAAGCCAGCGGAACUUUUCCAAGGUUGACGGACGGCAGACUUUGACCCAUAGUCUCCAAGACCGUACCACUACCGUAUCUUAUAAUACAAGGCUAGUCACAACGUUGUACUAUGCAGCUAGAGAGGAUCAUGGAGCGCUCUUCUUCUUCCAUGGCACGCGGUGUCGUCCUCCUGGCACUCAUCUGCUGUUGGUUAGCAUGCUCGGCGGCGGCCCAAGGUAACUAAUAAACCACUACUCGCAGCUCAGUUGCCGGAUUAGGAUGAUGAUUGAUGAUACAUGCAGUUGUUCCGGACGGACGCCGUGAGCCAAGGACUCCGCCGUCGCCACUGCCCGGGAACCAGAACCCGGUGGAGGCUCCGGCCGAGAUUGCGUCUCCACCACCGCCCUUGAAGACAACGGCGCUUGCGCCGCACCGCAAGACCCUGCAGCAGGCUGUUUCGAGCGUUCCUCAUCUAUGAAGCACUGUCCCUCCGAUAUGUUCUUGUCUAUGCAUGUACUAUUGCUGAUGGUGCAAAUUAAGGAAAUAAAUAUAGGGUGUGACUAGGGCACAUCUAGAUGUGACAUAACUAUGUGACAUCUACGAGCCAGUUUCUCGUUGCCGCACAUAGCGCAGGCCUUCGCCACUGAGCCGGCUCACUGUACACACCCAAGUGCGUUGUGUUUGAGCACGCAAAGUCAUAAAAAAUGCAGCGCGUAAAGCUUAAGAGUACCAUGUGUCCCACUUUCUUUUGUUAGCAUAAAACACGACAAAUUAAGAAACAUACGUGGAUGCCUAUAGGUUUAGAAACGGAUGUAGUCAAGGUGAGAGCUUGUAGUUUAGUCCAGUACGUGUAAAGCUCGACAGAUGAUUAGCAUUUGUGAACAAUUUUUAAAAAGGAUCAUUGUUUUAAAUAUUUGUACUUUUUUUAAAACCCCAAUCAUUUUUCUAAACUUGCGAGCAUUUUUUAAAAAACGUGAACUUAAUUUGAUAUUUUUGACCAUUUUUUAGAAACCCAAAUAACUUUUGAAAAAACAAAAUAUUUUUUCAAAUUCCAAACACUUUUUGAAACAGAAAAUGAAUAAUAAAAAUAAAAUUAGAAAUUAUUGUUUCAAAGAAAAAAGUAAAAAGGAAACAAAAUCUGGUGAAGAAAAAACAAAAAAGGAAUAAACCAGGAAAAACUGUGAAGAGAACAAACAAACAAACCACAACAGUGUUCCUUUUUCGUAAAUAGUCCCCAAUUCUCUUUUUCAUAAAUAGUCCCCAGUUCUCUUAAAAAAUAUGUGUGGGCGAAGGGCCAAAAGACACAUGCAUGAACAAACUUGUAAUCUAUAUGUAUAUUUACAAAACUACUUCACUAAUUUGAUGUAAAUCCUAUUUACAAAAGUAAAUGAAAGAUGAAAAUAUGGCCAUGCAUUGAAUGAAGAAAAAUGUUUGUGUAUGUAUACAUAAAUGUUCAUGCAAUUUUUAGAAGUGCUCAUGCUCUUUUUAAAAGUGUUGACAUAUUUUCACAAUACGUGUGCAUGAUGAACAUUUUCAACAUACAUAGAAAACAUUUUCUAGAAAAACACCGUUAAUAUAUUUUAAAUAGGAUGAGCGUUUUUUUAGAACAAGGCAAUUUUUAUAAAAAAAUGAUGAACAUUUUAUAAAUACACGAUGAACAUUUUUUUAAACACCGUGAACAUUUUCGAAAACACAAAAAUCGCAUGGUGGAGGAAAAUCAAAAGGGGGAAAAAGAUAAGCUAAGGGUGGAGAUGCAACUGAGUCCGGGCAAGUUGUGUCUCAAGAGUGUACAAACAACUGGGCCGGGCAAGUUUGGUGUCGAGGGUGGACACGGAACUGGGUUGGGGUCGGGGCAAAGUGCAUGUUGAUGGUGGACAUGCAACUGGAUCAGGUUAGGACAAGUUGUGCAUCGAUGGUCGACAAACAACUAGGCAAGGCAAGUAGCAUGUCGUGGACGGACAUGCAACUGGGUCGGGCGAGUUGUGUGUCUAGGGUGGACAUGCAACUUAGUCGAGUCGGCAAGUUGCGACUCGAUGUUGGACUUACAACUGAGACAACUACACAAAGCUACGAGACCAGUUGAGAGCCGAUGGUGAACUGCAUCUAGGAAAACUAUGAGCCUAGUUGCGAGUCGAGGGUGGACUUGCAACUGGGACGAAAAACAAACUACACUCCUAGUUGCAAGUCGAGGGUGGACUUGCAACUGGGUUAAAAACAAACUAUGGGUCUUGUUACGAGUCGGGGUGGACUUGCAACAGGGAUUAAAAAUAAACUAUAUGCCCAGUUCCGAGUCGAGAGUGGACUUGUAACCGGGAUGAAAAACAAACAAACUAUGGGCCCAGUUGUAUGUCGAUGAUGGACUUGCAAUUAGCACUACAUAGAACUACGAUACCAGUUGCGAGUCGAGGAUGGACUUGCAGCUGGGGGCCUCGACAAAUACACACACAUCCUAGUUGUGAGUCGAUGUUCGGCUUGCAACUGGGGACACUCGACACACACACACACACACACACACACACACACACACACACACACANNNNNNNNNNNNNNNNNNNNNNNNNNNNNNNNNNNNNNNNNNNNNNNNNNNNNNNNNNNNNNNNNNNNNNNNNNNNNNNNNNNNNNNNNNNNNNNNNNNNNNNNNNNNNNNNNNNNNNNNNNNNNNNNNNNNNNNNNNNNNNNNNNNNNNNNNNNNNNNNNNNNNNNNNNNNNNNNNNNNNNNNNNNNNNNNNNNNNNNNNNNNNNNNNNNNNNNNNNNNNNNNNNNNNNNNNNNNNNNNNNNNNNNNNNNNNNNNNNNNNNNNNNNNNNNNNNNNNNNNNNNNNNNNNNNNNNNNNNNNNNNNNNNNNNNNNNNNNNNNNNNNNNNNNNNNNNNNNNNNNNNNNNNNNNNNNNNNNNNNNNNNNNNNNNNNNNNNNNNNNNNNNNNNNNNNNNNNNNNNNNNNNNNNNNNNNNNNNNNNNNNNNNNNNNNNNNNNNNNNNNNNNNNNNNNNNNNNNNNNNNNNNNNNNNNNNNNNNNNNNNNNNNNNNNNNNNNNNNNNNNNNNNNNNNNNNNNNNNNNNNNNNNNNNNNNNNNNNNNNNNNNNNNNNNNNNNNNNNNNNNNNNNNNNNNNNNNNNNNNNNNNNNNNNNNNNNNNNNNNNNNNNNNNNNNNNNNNNNNNNNNNNNNNNNNNNNNNNNNNNNNNNNNNNNNNNNNNNNNNNNNNNNNNNNNNNNNNNNNNNNNNNNNNNNNNNNNNNNNNNNNNNNNNNNNNNNNNNNNNNNNNNNNNNNNNNNNNNNNNNNNNNNNNNNNNNNNNNNNNNNNNNNNNNNNNNNNNNNNNNNNNNNNNNNNNNNNNNNNNNNNNNNNNNNNNNNNNNNNNNNNNNNNNNNNNNNNNNNNNNNNNNNNNNNNNNNNNNNNNNNNNNNNNNNNNNNNNNNNNNNNNNNNNNNNNNNNNNNNNNNNNNNNNNNNNNNNNNNNNNNNNNNNNNNNNNNNNNNNNNNNNNNNNNNNNNNNNNNNNNNNNNNNNNNNNNNNNNNNNNNNNNNNNNNNNNNNNNNNNNNNNNNNNNNNNNNNNNNNNNNNNNNNNNNNNNNNNNNNNNNNNNNNNNNNNNNNNNNNNNNNNNNNNNNNNNNNNNNNNNNNNNNNNNNNNNNNNNNNNNNNNNNNNNNNNNNNNNNNNNNNNNNNNNNNNNNNNNNNNNNNNNNNNNNNNNNNNNNNNNNNNNNNNNNNNNNNNNNNNNNNNNNNNNNNNNNNNNNNNNNNNNNNNNNNNNNNNNNNNNNNNNNNNNNNNNNNNNNNNNNNNNNNNNNNNNNNNNNNNNNNNNNNNNNNNNNNNNNNNNNNNNNNNNNNNNNNNNNNNNNNNNNNNNNNNNNNNNNNNNNNNNNNNNNNNNNNNNNNNNNNNNNNNNNNNNNNNNNNNNNNNNNNNNNNNNNNNNNNNNNNNNNNNNNNNNNNNNNNNNNNNNNNNNNNNNNNNNNNNNNNNNNNNNNNNNNNNNNNNNNNNNNNNNNNNNNNNNNNNNNNNNNNNNNNNNNNNNNNNNNNNNNNNNNNNNNNNNNNNNNNNNNNNNNNNNNNNNNNNNNNNNNNNNNNNNNNNNNNNNNNNNNNNNNNNNNNNNNNNNNNNNNNNNNNNNNNNNNNNNNNNNNNNNNNNNNNNNNNNNNNNNNNNNNNNNNNNNNNNNNNNNNNNNNNNNNNNNNNNNNNNNNNNNNNNNNNNNNNNNNNNNNNNNNNNNNNNNNNNNNNNNNNNNNNNNNNNNNNNNNNNNNNNNNNNNNNNNNNNNNNNNNNNNNNNNNNNNNNNNNNNNNNNNNNNNNNNNNNNNNNNNNNNNNNNNNNNNNNNNNNNNNNNNNNNNNNNNNNNNNNNNNNNNNNNNNNNNNNNNNNNNNNNNNNNNNNNNNNNNNNNNNNNNNNNNNNNNNNNNNNNNNNNNNNNNNNNNNNNNNNNNNNNNNNNNNNNNNNNNNNNNNNNNNNNNNNNNNNNNNNNNNNNNNNNNNNNNNNNNNNNNNCUUGCAACUAAGGACCCUCGACAAAUACACACACCCCUAGUUACGAGUCGAUGGUCGACAUGCAGCUGGGGACCCUCGACAAACACACAUUCCCCUAGUUGCGAGUCUAUGAUUGACAUACAGCUCGGGGCACCGACAAACACACACUACCCUAGUUGUAAGUCGAUGGUCGGCUUGCAACUGGGGACCCUCAACAAACACACAUUCUCCUAGUUGCAAGUCGAACAUCGGCUUGCAACUAGUGACCGUCGACACACACACACACACACACACACACACACACCUUUAGUUGUGAGUCGUUGGUCGGCUUGCAACUGUGGGCACCGAAAAACACACACCCCAGUUGCAAGUUGCAUGUAAAAAGUGACAAAGACACACACCCCGUUUGUCGGAGGCAAUAUGAGGGUUAAGGAUGGGCAUACAACUAGGUCGACCGAGUGGCAUGUCAAGAGUGGACAUGAAACUGGGUCGGUGUCAUGCAAGUUAUGUGGGCGAGGUUGAUCGUGCAGUUCCAUGUUUGAUGGUGCACGUGCAAUGACAAACACUUACAUAUGUACAAAACAAAGUUGUAAUCCUAUUGAAGACAUGCAGUUGCAGCCAAGGAUGAUGCUUGAAGUUGUGUGUAUAGCUAGUAGGAGACACGCAAAUGCCCUCUCGAGAAAGCACUUUCAUCCUUUAAGUAGCAAUCACAUUGAAGAUGAGCGAACUUGCACUUGUUGUGUGGUGAUGGACAUGCAAUUGACACUGAUAAAAAAUUCAUGAGUUUAAAAAAUAUUAAUUUACAUUGCAGAAAUGAAAAACAAGAAAACAAUAAAGGAAAACAAAAACCAAAAAAUAGAAAACUGAAUAAAAACAAAUAAUGUUGCAUGUUGUUUACAUUGACAAACUGAACAAAAAAAUAGAAAACUGAACAAAAACGAACUGGGGACCAAAUCCAAGUUGCAUGUCGAGGGCGGAGUUGCAACUGGGACAAAAGGGCCGCCUCCCCCAGGUAGUUGUGUGUCGAGGGUGGACUUGCAAUUAGGACGAAUAAUGAGUCAGGCCCAAUGUAUCACGUGUGUAUUCGCAACUAGGGAAAAAAGGUUAGGCCCCCAAUUGCGUGACAAGAGUGGACUUGCAACUGGGAUGAAUAAUUGGCCAGGCCUCGUUACACGUUGCAGUGAAGUUGAAAUUGGGACAAAACUAGACCGGACCCCCAGUUGCAUGUCGAGGGUAAACCUGUAAUUGAAAAAAAAAAUAUGGGCCGGGCCCGGUUGCAUGUCGGGGAUGAACUUGCAAUUAGGACAGAAAAAGAGUCAGACCUAGUUGUAUUAUGAUUCUAUGGAAAACCCCAUUUACACCUUUGAAAUCAUUCGAGUUUAAUACUCAAUGACAAACCAGCCAUAAAAAUGUUUUUUCUCAACAUAGAAGCACAAAGAAAAUUCAAUGCAAAAGUUCUUCCUCAAGAUAUAUGCACAACAAGAGAAACAACUAUCUACAAAAAACAAUGUAAAACAAUGUUGAAAACACGCGAUACGAAUUUAUGGGGGCAUGCGCAAGGGUAGCACACUGUCACGCAUACCACACAAACUUCAAAAGAACUCAUGCCCAACAAAAAAGUAUGAAAAGACAUGGACAUGCCCGGUUCAUGGUCCGACAAACAAGACAAUAUACGAAAGCAAACAUGGCACAUGUUGGGCAUAGCACGAAUCUUAGCAGGGUCAUCCAAUGGUGGGAAACUAGAAUGUGCAAUUGAUAAAUCUCAUCUAGAUGAGAAUUAGCAAAUCACAAAAAGAAAAAUCACAACUCGCAACAACACAGUGAUACAACACACACGACCAGAGGUACACAAACACGAAAUGCGGCUCAUUAGGGGGACAAGCAACUGAGGUAGAAAAGAAAGUCGGGCCCACUUGUGAGCCAAAGGGUGGAUUGUAAACUGGGGCAAAAAUGAUCAAAGAGCUCAGUUGCAUAUCAAUGGUAGAUUUGCAACUAGCAAAAAAAAUUGCCAGCCUAGUCGCGAGUUGAUGAUGGAUUUGCAACAAGGAUAAAAUGGAGUCGACCUCAGUUGUGAGACGAUGGUCAACUGUAAUUGGAUUAAAAGAAUCGGUUGCGAGUCAGGGGUGUACUUGCAGCAGGGACAAAAAAGAUCACCCGCACAGUUGCAUGUUAGUGAUGGACUUGCAACUGGGACGAAAAAAAGGAUCAGACCCAAUUGCGAGUCGUUGGUUGACUUGCAACUUCGGCAAAAAAACAACGAUCAAAAGCCUAGUUAUAAGUUGACCCAAUUGCAAGUUGUUGGUUGACUUUCAACAGGAUAAUAAGUAAGGGGUAGGCCUAUUUGCGAGUCACGGGUUGACUUGCAAACUGGUACAAAAAAGUUAGCCCCUAGUUGCGAGUGGAUGGUGGACUUGCAGUUGAGGCAAAAAAAAGUCAGACCUAGUUACAAGUUGAGGGUGGAUUUGCAACUAAUGCAAAAAAGGAGAGUUGGGACGAGUUAUGAUACAAAUGACAUAACGAGCCCAGUUGCGAAUCGAGGGUUGACUUGCAAUUGGGUCAAAAAACGUCGGGCCUAGUUGCAAGUCAAGAUCAAGAGCUGAGUUGCAUGCCAAUGCUGGACUUACAACCAGAAAAAAAUGGUCACACAUAGUUGCGCGUCAUUGGUUGACUUGCAAUUGCAACAAAAAAAACCAAGUGUCCAGUUGUGAGUCGAUGGUUGACUUGCAACUGAGAGAAAAAAAAUUGGACCCCUAGUUGCUAGUUGAUGGUGGACUUGUAACUGAGUCUAAAGAGUCAGGCAUAGUUGCAUGAUGAGUGGACUCGCAACUAAUGCAAAAAAAAGGACAAAAAAUACAUGAAAAUUGCCAGAAAAAACAAAAAUAGAGGUUGAACAAAAAUGGCCUAACAAAAACCGUCCAACAACUAGACAUCGCGACGACAUGUGAUGUGUGCGACAAAAAAGAAGCAGGCCCAAAUUUGCGGAAAAGAUUACAGCAAAUAAAUUGAACGAGCGAUAACUUAGAUAAGACAUUGUUAAAAUCUUCAUGAAAUUUAGCAAAUCCGAUUUCAAAACCGUUCAAAUAUUUUUAAAAUGUUUAUGAAUUUUAGAAAACAUUUUUUUCUGAAACUGUCCACAAAAAAAUAGUAAAUUUUGUUAAGUGUCCGCCCACUUCAAAAAGUGCCUUACAUGCAAGAUCAUGAAUUAUAAAAUAAAAAAAGAGAAAAUCUAAAGUGGAAGAAUAAAAGCGAGACAACAAGAAGUGAGAUGCGGAAUGUAUGGACGAUAGAAACCAAUAGCCUCGUUGAAUUGUUACAACGCAGUCAGAAAAGACUAAAGCAACAACGAACCGUGCAACGUGCGGCCGGACAAAAAAAACAAGCAACGAUCGAGUGACAGCUAUGUGUGCGAGCGACGCGGGACACGCCAGCUGGACGCAAAUCAACCUUGAACGAUAAUUACAGCAGAAUAGAUCUAACGGUUAAAAACUUAGAUGUGACAUACUUAAAAAACAUCUAAAUAUAUGUUAGCAAUUCCGAUAAAUAUAAGGCCAUGAACUUGUAACCUUACGUUCUUGGUGACGAGGAUUGUUUGCCGUGUUGGCGACUGAAACUAUUAAUAACAGACAAAAAAAAUCGAACAGCCCGAGAAGUUCGGUGAGGCAGCCCAACUUGUAAUUUUUUUGUACACAUUAAAUAACUAGAGGAUCAAAUUCGUUUAGACAUUUUCGUUGCACCACAGAAAUAUCCGAAAACUUCUAGGCACUGUUAGUACGAAAGUUCUUUUGACUUGCAAAGUUUAAAGUAUGGUCGAUAUAAGUCAAACUAUGGCCAAAUUGCGAAGGAAAUUCGCACGCGCGCUCACUGGACUCACACAGUAUUAUACUCAAGAAGCUGGAUCAUAGCCAAAAUACAGUAACUCAUGUGCUUGCUUUCACCCAUAUAAAGGAAAAUUUCAAGAAUGGUGUGCCACAUAGGAUAAACAAUUUUUUUCCAGGUGAAGAUAGUGAACUAGCACGGAUCUUGAUGCAAAGUCGGAAAAUUAAUCUUGUUAGAGGGUACAACUACAUGGUGCUUCAAGAAAAAUCUACUCUCACUUUUCCACAUAUUUUUGGUAACAGGCACAUUUAUUUUCAUGUUCCUCAAACAACAAAAUAUAAAAGAGGGACAGGGGGAGAAAAAUAAACUACUAGUACUGCGAUGACCAUUGCAGUAACAUGCUUACAAAUAAUCUGUACUACUUUAUAAAUAAAUUGAUCAGAUAGCUCAUAACAAGUCAUAAUCGAUGUGCCUUAGAAAUUAUUGAUCUAUCACCGAGAGAUAAAUACAGAAAAACAAAAACAAAUCAUCACCAACGAAACAAUUCAACCAAACACAUCAUCAGAGCUCAAGUUUUUCACCCUUUCAGGUCAGCAUGAAAAAUAUUCAAUCAACUCUACCACGGGGAUCCCGCAACCGCUUACCAAGCGCCCGCCCUUCGAGUCAGCACAUAAGGAAAAAUAUCUGCAAGGGCAAAUUAGCCCUAUAAAAAGCGUGAUAAGUAUUUUACCACCAAAGCAUCAAAACAAAUUUGAAUGACAUAGCCAGAAGAAGAUUUAUGAUCAACAUGAUUCCAUUUCUUUGAUAAGAAACUAGCCUACUUUUCUCAUCUUAGUUUUUCCACAUCACUAUAAAUAUAUUCUUCAUUGAAAUAAGUGUAUACAUUCGGACUCUUGAUAGAAUGAUGCAAGCAACCCAUUUAUUGUGAAGUUUUUAAUUCGGUAUCGAAGUUGAUUUUUUUGAUAAGAAUAGGGCCUCAGUGGAAAAUUGAAUAAGACUACAACAAUGACCACACUAGUGUAUCACUUCCUCCCCGAAGGUGUUAUCUGACAACGUCUUUGGCUCGUGCAAACUAGAGAUGGGGAAUUUGAGUUGAGGAGUUAGGAGAUUAAAAGCCCUUUGAUUGAUUAUAGGUAAUGAGAGUUUAAGUUGGCAGGGGAAUGGGAGUUGAGGGAGCCGAUUCCCAAUUUCUUUCCAUGGGGUACCAUGUUAAUUCGUGAACAGUGGUCCAUGAUAGACUAAUUCCCAUAAUAUACCAAGCAAGGAAAUUAAUGGGAGUAAAAAUCUACUUCCACUCCUAAUCCCAACACAAACUCCCACCCCGGCCCCUACCCCAAUGGUUACCGAACAGGAUGUGAAAAUUGUGCUUUUGCAUUCACUAGUUCGAGGGCAAUCCUUUUAUUUCUUCCAUUGUCUGGUGAAAAAAUCUCUUAAUAAUGUCUAUAUUAAUAGAUUGCCCACACAAUUGAGAAAGCAAAGGACUGGUAGAUUUUUUAUAGGAGGAACCUCUGCUUCGUGACUAUGACUAGGAGACUCUUGACUUAGUAGGUAUAUACUACAAGAGAAAAGAAGUCCUGAUUUCCGUGACUCCUUUUGUCCCUCAUCCAAUGUCGUCAAGCUGCAUUUUCAAAGGUGCCCUUGUCGACGGAUAUCGAUGGCAGACUUUGACCAUGAACUAGUGUAUAUCUAGAUGGUUGAGCCUCCAAGACAAAGAAAAGAGCGUAACCAUCGCCAAUGUAGUACAAUACCACUAACGUUCCCUACAUAUGAUAUAACUCAGGAGAACAACUUAAGGUAUGUGCCGCGUUACAGAACAUGAAGCACUUGCUAGCACAGUCGUAAAAUUUAUUCCGUAUAUUGUGAUCUUGUCACAUAUUUGUUUUCCAAAUAAUCCCUUUAUUCAAUUUUAUUUUUAUGAUUUUCUAAACAAAAACACUACAAUAACUAUGAUGCUACACUGUGAAUUUUGACUAUUUACAUGUUCAGUUCCUACAGAACCUGAAUGGAUCAAAGCACAAUCUUCUGAGAUGAAACUGCAUAACAUCGUUGUUGAGCCAGCUAUUUCCAACUAUGUAUAAGUAGUCGUUAACAUAAUGUGAAGCUGAUGUGAGACAUAUUAUUUCUACGUAUAUUCUUUUUUCCUUCUACAAUAUGGUUUUAAUUUGGUUUUCUGUCCGGUUUCUUUCAGUCUUAUAGGAAUGAAUUUACAGACGACUCACAUAAUGAUUUAACAUGCAACGGUUGGGUGGCAUGCCACAAAGCCAUGCCCAAAAUCUAGUACUACCUCCUAUCCAAAUUAAUUGACAGAACCUUAAUAUAACUUUAGUUUAAAGUUAUACUAAAGCUACACCAAUUAAUUUGGAUUGGAGGGAGUAUAAGGUAUAUUAUGGCCUAUACAUUAUUAUAGUUCUAAGUUUGUAGUGAAGUACGCCCUAUUUUAGAGUUUGGCACACGACUUCUGAUUUUGCCAGCUUACCUGCUAAUGCAACCUGCCUGACCGGGAGACUCUUGACUUCGUAGGUCUAGUCUAUACAAGACAAAACAACAAGAGCUUUCCACAACUAGUGUGCCGCAAAUUUCUUGUCCUCAAACUGCAUUUUCCACACGACAGAUUUUGACCAUGAACUAGAGCAAGCAUUCAUAUCUGCACGGUCAAGUCUCCAUGACCAAGAAGAGAGCGCAAGUGCGUAGCCAUCCCCGGUGUAGUCUAGUACCACUACUGCUAGUACCGUUCCCUAUUUAACAUAUGGCCCACAAAGUGAACAACGUACGCACUGAGAAGCCGGCCAGAUGAAUAUGCACCGUUCUUCUUCCCUCGCAUUAGCUAUGGCGUUCCUAGCUAUCGUUUACUGUUUCAUGCCGCCGCCAUGCUCAGCAGCGUUCCAAGAAGGUGCGUAAAGAACUGUGUGCAUGCCAUUUUUGUAAGGGAAUUUCUAAAAUUAGGCGGCCGGAAUGAUGAUUGAUCAUGUUCAUAGGUGUAGCUGUUCUGGACGGAUCCCGUAUCAAUGGACCUCCGUCGCCGCGGUACGGGCCGCCGAGGCAGCCAGGCUAUGAGCCCCCGGCCGCUGCUGCCACUUCUGCCACAGCGUAAGACCGUGUAGGCGGCUGCUAAGGCCCCUCACGCAUAAAGUAGACCGGAAAUCAGAGUGUAUACAGUGGUAAAUAAAAUCCGGAUGAUUUGUGAUAUUAAUAAUUAGUUGUGAAAGUUAUGAAUAAAGCCACGUUGUUAUGUGCGUAUGAAUAAGCUAUCAGUCAUAUAGGAUAACAAGUUUACGAUGAAUUGCAUUGAAAAUCCUUAUAUUUCCAAUUACAUAAAGAAAAAAACAAAUAAAAGAUGAGGAGAAUACUAACGAAUGGGAAGAGACUUCCCAGUAUUCUCCUAUUAUUUCUUAUGAUGAAUCAGGUAACCAGGAGGAGCCUUCUAUUCAACCAAUCUCAUUAAUAAGGAGCUCCAAAAGAGGAUUGAACCCACACAUGUGAAGGAAAUAUGCCCUAGAGGCAAUAAUAAUUAGUUGUGAAAGUUAUGAAUAAAGCUACGUUGUUAUGUUCGUAUGAAUAAGCUAUCAGUCAUAUAGGAUAACAAGUGUGUGAUUGACUUGUCCGUGCACUAUAGCCGAAUCAUCUGUACAUUCUCCCGUGUAUAAAGGAAAAAGCCUUCACCUAGCCCAGAUCAACCAUUUUAUUACUGAACUAAGAUCAAGACCGUGUCACUUGCUUCUAUUCACAAUCACGUCGGUUGCUUCUAUUCACAAUCUAAAAUGCAUGAAUUUAGAAGAAGAAAAGAUCCACCAUUUUGGCAACUCUUCAUACAAUUUCCUCAGAAUGUCAUGCAUGGAUGGCUCCCAUGUGCAUGGUCUUUCAAAGUUAAAAACACUAAGAAGAAAAUACAAAACUAAAUUUUUUUAUUUAUAAUUUAAGUAGAAAUUGUUUUGAAAACGAGUUCCAUUUUUCGUUCCUGAAGAAAAAAUAAAUAGUGUUACAAGAUUACGGCAUUGAACACACCGUCACCUGCACAAAUAAAUAAGAAAAUCCAGGGGCCAACAAAUUAAAUUGAAUAAAUAUCAGAAAAAUCUAAGACAUAAUGAAGCAAAAACAAGAACAUAACUAAUUUUCUAAGGCAGCAUAAAUCAAGGUCAUUGGUGUUACCUAAAAGGAAAAAUAAAAUAAAAAAUAAACUUAAAGCAAAUCAUGACGAAAAUACGCAUACAAAUAUCAUAGAACUUGCACCGUUCCAUAAUAUGAAAAAACAGGCAUAUAUUAUGUACUUAUCUUUGUCAUGCCUUGUUUUGUGUUAAAAAUGAAAAAUAAAUCAUAAAAAUAGAAAUGUUAUCCUGAAGUGUGAAUUUUAGCGCAUUGCUAUUACCCUGAAUGAAGAAAUAAAUUGAGAAAAUAAAUUUAAAAUAAAUAGUGACGAGAUACUCUCACACAAAAUGCAUAUAACUUGCACUGAUCCACAAUAUGCAAAAAAAAUAUGAUAUAGUAGGGUACCUAGCAUAUAUGUACUUCCAUGUUAUACUAUGUCAAACAACAAAAUAAGAAUGUUGGCGUUUAUUCGUCUCUCGACCAGUUAAAAUUGGUUGGCAUUUCAUAUCAAUUGUGGUUCCUUCUCUCUCUCUCUCUCUCUCUCUCUCUCUCUCUCUCUCUCUCUCUCUCUCUCUCUCUCUCUCUCUCUUUCUCUGCGCACACACACAACACAUACACACAAGCACUUGUUUUUUUAGGGAAUCUUAAAAUAAAUUGAUUGAUCAGGCCAGGCCUUUGUGUGUGGACUGUGGGCAUGCUCCAGCGAGACAAUAACCUUUUAUUAUUCGCAAAAAGAAAGACAGUAACCUUUUACGUGGGCUGUUCCAAGCUAGUGAAAUGAAAAAAAAAAAUAGAACAAACGGAGCCUUUUACAUGGGCUGUUCCAAACAAGCGAAAAUUUUUGGAACAAACUGAACCUUUUUAUAUGGGCUGCUACUGGCUUGAGAAAAAAGUUUCGACUCAAACAAUACUUGUUUUGAGGCACCUGACCAUUAGCAAAACCGGCAGAAAAAACAUGCUGUGGGAAAUUCAACUGAAAAAACAAGUAUUGUAAUAAGCUAGCAAUUCGAAGAAACUCUUAUCUUUUUUUCUGUGGUGCCGACAAGCUGCAUGAUAGGUAUAGCCGAUAGUGUUGACUCCUUGGUCCAUACAAGACGAGAGAGGAAUAUCUUUCCAACAGUACACGCCACCAAUUAUUUCUUCUCAAGCUAAAAUUUGGGAAGUUGCCCUGCCUGUUGACCCCAGGGAAGACUUUGACCAUACAUAAGUCUCCGAGACCAAUAAUAUAGACUAGUAAUCGUCACUGUAGUCAGAGUGCGCGUAGGAAGUUGUAUUGGCGUUACCUAUAAAACAAGACAUGCAUGCUCAGAGAGAACACACAUGAGAAGCUGUGACAGGAAGGAGAACGCAUCAUGAAGCGUUCCACUUCCACUUCAACUCCAUCUUCGUCCUUGGUACGCAGCGUUGUGAUCCUUGCUCUGAUAUGCUGUUCCCACGUCGUCAUCAUGUGUGUAUUGUGCAUGCAGCACGUAUUUAUGUUUGGGGUGAGGAUUGAUGGUUCAUGCUCAUGCAUAUGCACGCAGUUGCUCUUGACGGAAGCCAUGAGCCAACGAGUCCUCCGCCGCCGGUGCCAGGUCCCCAGAUGUCUCCGUCUCCAGUUCCAAUGCCUCCGGUCCAUCCUCCGCCGCCACCGCCGCCCAUGCCGGAGAUGUCAGCACUGGCGCCGCACCGCAAGACCCUGCAGCAAGCUGUCAGGGACGCCAUUUAAUUAUGCAUGAAACAGUGCUGCUCAUAUAUUAUUUUCGUCUAUGUAUGAUCUAUCAUGGUCCUAAGUAAUUGAGACGAUAAAUAAUGAUAUUAGCGUACAUAUGUACUCUCUUCAUUUUUUUUACUUCACGUAUAAAAUUUGGUCAAAGUCAAACUAUACAAAGUUUGACCAAAUUUAUAUAAAAGAAUUAUGAAUAUCUGCAAUA
rnacentral:lncRNA from 1 species